UGGUAGAAUUUUUGAAUGCAUGAUUGUAAGGUACUGAACUUCUUAAAUUAUAAAGUUACGGUGGGAUGUAAUAUGCUGAAAUUUUAAUAUAAAAAUAAAUAUAAAUAAAAAUAGUGUGGGAUACUAUUUUAUUGGACUUAUAGACAUACAAUAUAAGUCUGGAAUGACCCGUGUUGAAAUCAGAGCGAAAACAGAAGAUUUAGAAUUUUAUGUGUGAAACGGGGCAGAUAAAUUAGCAGAAAAUGCACAGUAUCAGAAAAUUCUGAAAACUGGAGGAUAAGCCAGAAUUAUUUUUGUGAGGUUAGAUUUAAAGUUUCAUAUCAUUCUGACACCUGGAAGGUGAAAAAUAAAAUCCGAUAGUGAUCUGAUAAAGAUUACAGUUCGGUACGGCUUUCGGUGACCAAACGGGGUCGAAACUGAAAGAUUAAAAUUUCUUUCUUUAAGUUAAGCAAAACCGAACAUGACUGUUAAAUUUGAGCUCAAACGGAUAUUCAGAGGGCUCCGGCGAAAGAUAUCAGAUUUCGAACUGCCUGAAGUGAAUAGUGUAUGCUACUAUGGGGGUGUUGACUAUAAGUAGAAGCUUCUAGUGACUUGGCUUCUUCUUACACAAGCCGAGCACCACCCCCACAAGCACACGUUCAUGGUGGUAGUGAGAGAAAUCCUCACUUUCUCUCUCUAAAUAACUCUCUCAUCUCUCUAGAUCUUUCGCCCAAAUUCGCGGCGUUGGCGGAAAACGAGCUUGCAAACGCGUUGGGAGCGACGGAUCGAGCUUUCGUACGCCCGUUGGAGCAGCGUGCUUCCGUCUCAGCAUUCACAUUUUGGUAAACUUUUGGGAUUUGGCUUAAUCCUUAACCUUAAGUGUUCUAGUAGCCUCUAAUGAGCAUUCUUAGCAUGUUGCUCCAUUUAAUUUGGAUUAUUUGGGGGUAAUUGCAUGUUAAGGCUCAAAAAUAGGAUUUUGCAAUAUGUGAGGGUUUGAUCUAAAUUGAUCAUGUAUAAACCUAAUUGCUAGGUUUUCUAACGCGUUGGCGAAGUUGGUUCGGCGAUACGACGAGCGUACGCGAAGAUAUUAAAGAACGAAGCCGUUAGGGUACAGAUUGCCGCAACUUGCGGCGAAAGCUUCCAAAAAUCUUGGAAACGGAAUCGUAGCUUCAGGACAUCACCAAGAGGUGGGGGGUGUCAUCCCGAAGCAACUGGGCUUCUCCCUAUGUCUAAGUAUUUCUAUGUUGAACAUACUACAUAUAUAGUAUCAUGCAUGUUAGGGUAUUUAGAUGUUACUUUUACUAUUCUUGCAUGCUCCCUUGUAUUGCGGCAUAGUAGGCUUGGCAUGUGAACUUAGGGUGCAUGAGAAUGAGUUUGUGACAUAGAACCCUAAAGAGAUAAGUUAAACAAUAACUUGAUCUUGCAUAGAGGAUAUAUGACUAGUAUAGUCGGGACAAUUGCAUUAUGGCAAGUGACAUGUGAACCAAGUACAUACUUGACGAGUGGCAUAUGUAUACCAAGUAAACAACUUAACGAGUGGCAUUAGAACGUAGUGUUAAAAGAACACUUGUGCAUGUUGGUCAUAGUGACCGGGUACCUUCGUUGGAAAAGAAUUUGAUUAUACUCACACAGUCUGUUCAGCGCUUGUGGCGGUCGCCCCGCACAAGUAGUGUGAGCUCCGGAGUCUUGGCACGUGAAACGAUUGGGAUAGCCUAUGUGGGGUCCCAAGGGAUAGCCUAUGUGGGGUCCCGCAGACAAUCCCUCGGGUGGUUCGAGUCCUCCUUCAUAGACGGAUUUGAGUUGUGAGUCGAGGGCGCGCCUUUGGGCCAGCCAGAUGAUUGGGUGAUGAACUCAAGAGAAUUAUGCAUAUUGAGCAUAGUAAGCAUAUUGAGCAUGUUGAGCAUGUUGGACAUAGUAGAAUUGCAUGUAUACUUGAUAGAGUUAUUAUAGCAUGUUAGAGAUUACAUGGCUAUGUGAUUUACUCUUGUUCUCCAGGCAUAGUAGAAUCUUGCAAUUCCUUAUAUAUGCAUCAAUUACAGUUACAAAUAUCUAUCUAUCUGCUUAUGCCUGCUUAGACUUAGUGGGAAGAUCGGCGGAGUCGGCGGCCGAACCCACUGGAAACUAUAUUUAUAUAGUUCUCACCCCACUUUGUUGCAGGGCCUAGCGAGAGAGCACCGGCAGAGGACCGUGGUAAGGGCAUCGCGCCCUAGGUGUAGUUAGCAGCUUCCACUUGCAUUAGUGUACCCUCGUGUACCCCGUGACAUAUGAUGUACUUUGGGAGGUUGCUUGUGUAUUUUGGAGAUCAUCAUGAAUGUUCAUUUUAGAGAUAUAAAUGUAAUCAAGGAUCUAAAUGUUGAAUGCCUUGUGGAUGUAAUAGAUAGAUGUAUCUCUCCUUAUUUCACUUGUAUAGUAUACUUGUGCCUUGCUCUUACUUGUUAGCACUUAUGGUGCUCCGUGCUUUAUCAUGUAUGUAAUUGAAUUUAUUCCUGGGCAAUUCUAUGUACAUGAUCUUAUUUUUGAGCCUUGGGCGGACAGGGGAGGUCCUGUCCGUCCGGCGUCUGUUCGACGCACCCGAACCGGACCGAAUUGGUAGCGGUCUCGGGGUGUGACAAUGAUACACUCAUGUUACAUAUAGAAGUUUUUAUACUCUAUGUAGUAGAGGCUUAUAAUGUAGAUUGGUACACUAAAUAGCAUGAUAUUGUAUUUCCUCUUAUGCAACAUUAGAAUGCAUGAUAGAGAUGAGUAAAUAAUGUCCUAUGGGACCUUACAUGAUUAGUGAAAUUAUUGAAUUCAACUUGCAUGAUAACUAAUAUACUUGUUUUAAACAAGGGCAAAUAUGACCUAUUGCAUAGUAGAGAUAAAUAGUGAUGUUAAGCAUGUUGCACUUAACUUAGUUGAACAACUAAUUAGGCAUUAUGACAUUGUACUUGACCUGUAGGUCGUUAGUUGCAUUCCAUGUUUUAGACAUGACGAAAAAGAUUUCUAUGCUUUUGGGCAAAUAAAAAAGGGCAAUUGCUUAUAAUUGCUUAGUUGAAUGAAAGUUACUUACAUGAUGACCAUCAUACUCCAUGAAGUAGAGGCUUGUGUAGCAAGGCAUGUGCAUAACUUAAAUCAUGAUCUAGUUGACAUCCUCGUAGUUCAUUGAAUAUGGCAUUGGUAAAUUGUUCACUUUACACUAUAUUGGAAACAGUAUACUUAUGAAACCACUGUGUUUUGGGUCUUGAAUAAAAUAUAGAACCGUCCUUGAUAGGAUAAAUGAAAUGUAAACCAAUACAUGCUUUAGGCAUGUCAUGUAUUGAAAGAGACAUACCACUAAGUUACUUGAGAAUGAAACUUGAUAUAUAUAAUAUAGUACCCGACCUAUGAGUCGAUGAUUGUGAUUCUUUUAAACAUAAUGAUUAUUAGGAUAUGUGGUCUUUAGACCUUAUGCUAAUGAUCACGUUUGCUUGCCAUUGUGCUCAUGCGCAUAAGCUUGUGAGUGUCGCUGCCUACAAGCCGGCUCUUCGGAGUUAGCCUUUGCGACGACAGAUCACCCGUGCGGGAUUGGGCACCAAAGUGGAUUGCUAUGGGGGAGGCAUGAUCAUUCCUAGAGGAGGAAUGUUGACUAUCACGGGGCCAUUAGACACGGCACAAGCCGGGACGUUACCAUGUGUAAGUUACUCGUUAAUUGGGUAAAGGUUAAGUAAACUUGACAUAGUACAUCACAAUUAGUUGGUGCAUAUAUAGUAGAUGGACAACACCAAUACUGGUACCCAGCACCCCAAAUCUCAAACCCAAGAGCAUCUGCUCUCGGUCACGUAAUGGGGUUCCGGUACCCUACCCAGGUACUGGUAUUUAGCACCCAAAAAUCUAAAUUUACGGAUUUUGGUGCUAAGUACUCCUUCUCGCGUUCUCAGAACACGAGUAACAAGUCGGUACUCAAUCAACGACUUUCAAAAAUACAAGGAAUAGCACAAAACACUAUUCUAACACUGGAACCUUACAGUUUGCUAAAAUUCAGUGUGUUACAUUCUCCACUCCUAAAAGGAGUUUCGUUCGCGAAAAUAGAAACCAACCACAUCACAAAUCCAUCUGAAAAAGUGGAAGAAAUGCUCUAGCAGCGCACAAUCCAGUUCCCAAAAGUCUCGAGCAUGCCAACUGUCACGCCUCGGGACCGGCGAAGGCCCUCCCGGUAGCGUGCCCAGACCCGCCAUAUGUCUACACAUAUAAGGCGUCUACAACAAAAGCGGAAGUAAAGCAGGAGGUAGAACAAAUAAAAGAAGUGAAAUAACUAGCAACUAAUAAUAUCAGAGCAAGUAAGGUUCUACCAUCUACACCAAAGUAAAGAAAAUUAAAGCUAGUCAACCAAAGAUAACCAUAAGUAGUACAAUAACCGUCGCUAGUACAAAAAUGGUGGUCUCUAUACAUAUACGGGUACAACUCUCAACCUCUCACAAAAAGAAAACACGAGAGGUGGACCACCUAUCGAACGAUCCCUCGGUAAGCGCGCUAGCCCGAGGUGAUACCCUUUCCGCGAUCCCUGGCCUCUCCCUGCGUGGAAGGCUCUGAAAAACAUCGAGAAAAAGAGGGCGUGAGAACUAUAAUUUAUAGUUCCCAGUGGGCAAUUACUGACCUCAGCUCUAUGCACCACUAGGCCCCAAAAGAAAAGGGUAAGUACAAUAAUAAUAGCAAUAAUGACUGCGAUGUAAAGGCAUAAUUAAAAUGCUAAAUUACUAAACUCAAGUAUAAACGAUGUCAUGGUGAUGUACAUCUACGAUAUCAUAAUAGUAUGUCCAAUGGCAAUAGCUAAGUGUCAUUAACUUUUAUCAAUACAUGAUGCAUAAGUUCUGUCAUUGCAACCAAGUAUGCUCUAAUGCAAAAGGAGACUAUCAAGUAUACUACAUGUCUCAACACUAUGCUAAAAGCAUAUAAAUGUAAUUCAACUACUAAACCUAUCUAGUAGUGAUUAACCAUUCUCAACACCGUGUCAAUUUUCAUUUCCAAUUAAGGACCUACCAAAGGUAGUCCAGCUUGUGCUGCCUAAGUGUCUGUGGUAGCCCAACAUCCCUGCUCUUGGAAUGUGUCUGUCCCACUCGACCCCGUAGGCUUUUCAAUACCGCACGAACGAACAUAAGUCGCGUAGACUAACUCCGGAGUGCCGGCUUGUAGGGAGCGACCCUCACAAGCAUGUGCGAAUGAGCACAAAUGGCAAGCAAGCAUAGUCCAAGUCUCAAGUAUCCAAUCCUCAUGUCUCUAACAUGGUAUGGUCACUAGCAUCCCGAAGAUCUAGUUUAAGUCACAAUGUGAAGUUUCAACAUUUGCUACGCCUAGUGCCCCUUGAUGACACUUAGGCAAUUUGAUGUUCAACAUGUAUUCCAAAUCCCUCAAUGGCCCUAUCCGCUAGGUUCUCACAUGUCCCGAGCUCAAUGCCGCUUGAUGACAUUAGCUCUCUAGUUCACAUACCUUCUAAAUGGCAAUCUUGUCAUCUUUCAUGUCACAAGUAAACUCAAGUUUAAAUGCAUGAAUCCGAACUCAUUUAUACUAUAGAAGCAUGAAACCAAGUCUCAUAAAGAAUGCUAAAUGCAACCAAAGAUCUCCCAAGCAACUCUCUACUACAUAGAGGUCCAAAAUUUCAUCAUACAUAACAUAUGCAUUUUAAGCAUUCUAAAAAUCAUAAUAAAUACAUUUAGUAUGAACAUGCAUGCUUUUUCAAUUUACGGAGCAUAUAUAACCAUAUAUGAGAAUUCCUCAUAGGUAGGCUAGGUCAAACCCACCGAACCGUCGCGUAGGGUCUCGAUCCGCCGAACAAAGUUGUCCCCGAAUCUCAAAAUACCCUAAAAGUAUUGAGCGACAAGAUACACGGGCAUUACGAUCAACUAUAAGAUCAAACUUUAACAAAUUUAGCAAAAAGGCUAAAUCUCACCCAAUGAGUGGAAAAUCUCUCUCAAGCUCCAAAAGAGAGCAAAAUUCCUUCCAAUCCAAGCCCAAGGAAGGUUCUAAACCAACUAAUUAAGCUCCAAAAGCCCUAGAUUCAAAACGCCCAAAAUAAGCCCUAAAACCUCAUUCUAGGGUUUCAUCUCAAAACCAUCAAUAAAAAUCCAAUCUAAAGGGAGAGGAUAAGUGGAUUACCUCAUAGAAGCUUCAAUCUAAGCUCUAAACUCUUGAAAUCCCAAGAUCUUCCCUCAACAAUCCACCAAGACCAAGCUCCAAGCUUCACAAGGGUGGAAAAGCAAAGAAAAGGGAAAAGAAAAGGAUCAACACUUAAAUCCCAAGCUAAAAAGAGAUCAAAUCCAAAGGGGGUGAAGGGGAGAGGUGCCCUACCUUUCUUCCUGCAAUGGUGAGCUCAAAGGAGGGCCCUAGAGGCGUGGGUGCUGAUAUAAGAGACCCACAAACGCAAAAACACCCCUGCAGUUCAAACUGCUCAAAUUCUGCCGCCUUGUACCGGUACACGGGCCCUUGUACCGGUACAAGGUCCACGAAAUCCAAACCCGAAGCUCGGGAUGCUGGGCUCUGCGGCUCUGUACCGGUACAAGCUCCGAUGGCUGUACCGGUACAACCAUCAACCUUGUACCGAUACAAGCACAGCCUUGUACCGGUACAAGCCUGCCAGAACUCAAUCCGAGAGUCAGCCAAAUCCCGUUUUUUCGGAUUUUGGUGCAAGGCUUCGUACCGCAAAUUUCGGGACACGUGCCAUAGGUCGGAACACAGUCAACGACCCACCAGAAAAUCUGGAAAAGCCCAGAACACGGCCAAUCACUCGAACCUCGCAAUUUGCAAAGGCCUAGUGUGUUACACCAACAUUGCUCCAAGGCAUCUUUGCAUAGGAAAACCCACGAUUCCGAAGGUUUAGCACAUCGCAAGCCAAGUCUUCCACAAUUGUUUCUCGAACUCAAAUCCUCAUAGUAAGAAGUUCCACCUCUUAUCUGUGCUCAUCCAACAAGUUCUUUAGUUGCUUCACAUAAAGUCAAUCGCCUCCGAGAGGGCUAAAUUUCAUUUCCCGCUUUUCUCAAGUAUGUCGAGAGCGAAGAUUAGCUUUCCUCUACACUGCUCUUAUGAACAGAAAUUGAUCAUUCAUCCUUUUAAGGAGGAUUCAAACAGUAUCAUCCACUAGAGGAAUCCAAGGGUUAUACCCGGUACACAUCUCUCCAAAUUCAAUUGGUGUUCCCAGAAUGAUUAUCACAUAACAAAAGGAGGCGACGUGGAAUUUUCAAUCGUUGACCAAAACUCCUACGAUGAUCCUCCAUAAUCCAAGGGUCAAAUACAUUAAGAAAUUGCACAAUUUGGUGCAAUUCCAUCCCACGGUCAAGCAUGGUGAAUAGGUAGACUGUAGUGUACCGAGCCCUCGAUGCGCAAAAAUCGAACUUUAGUCAAAUUGACCAAAGUAUGGUAUUGGAUGCUUUAGUGAGGUCCGUUCAGUGUUCCAAGUGAUCGGAAUGACUUAUAAGGGUGUAAGGGACCAUGUAAUAUACCGAAAAUUCGGAAAAUAAAUAUCGAACUUUAGUCAAAUUGACCAAAGUGCGAGGACGGAACACUUCGGAAAGUCCGAAGGUGUUAAAAUGAUUAAAAGUGAGUUGUGGAAGGUUUUCGAGAGCUAAAGAAUCAAAUUCUGCAAAACUGCAGAUUUUGAGCUCUCGGGGACCGGUCCCUGGUGGGAGAGACCGGUCCCCGAACGCGUAUGAAAUGAGACAGCCGAAAAAUCGGCUAAGUCCUGGAAGAUCAGCUCUCGGGAACCGGUCUGUGCCUGAGAGACCGGUCCCCCAGAGACCGGUCCCAUCAGAGAGAAACCGGUCGCAUCGCGCUCAGCGGCUCUGGCUGCGCAGGGUGGACGUUCGGGAACCGGUCCCUACUCGGGGAGACCGGUCUCUGCCUGCGAAAACUGCCCAGUCCAGGCAGUGCACAGAGGUAAAAGUUAGGUUUUAAGCUGCAAUUUUAUCAACCGAAGUAGGCUAAUAUGAGGGCAAAUGAGAUAUUUCUCGGUCAUUUCCUCAUCCUAUCACACUCUCUCUCUCCCUCUCUCUCUACGAAAGCAAAGGAGAAGAAGAUAGAAAGGAAGAAAGUGAGGAAAAGAAGGAAAUAGAAGGUGAAAAGAAGAAUCAAGUAGUCAAAGCUUACCUCUUUUCGCUUCCUCCUUGGAGCAACUUGGGAAGCUUGAGGUACAGCUUUGAUCCAGUAUAGUAAAACCCUAGAAUUGAGUUUUUGAUGACCUAGCAGUAGUUUAAUGGAAUUUUUAAAGAGUUUUGAAGCUUUCUUUUUGCUUCUAAAGAGAUCAAUAAUCUAGGUUUUGCCUAUAGAGGUGAGCUUUGGACCACCUCUCAUGGUGAAAUCCAAAACUAGGGUUUGGAGUGAGCUAUGGAUGUUCUAGUGGACCUAUUUAUGAGUGUUAAAAUGAAGCUAUUUUUGUCAAUUACCGCAAUGAGAUCAAACCUGGGUUUGACAUGAGUAUUGGAGGCUAUGGGCCAUGGGGCUUUUGCUCCAUAGGGUUUCUAAGUGCAAUUGACGCUCUCUUAAACAACGCUAAUGGGGCGUAUUUCGCGACCUGCGAUUGGUGGCGCUCGGAUUAACUUACGAAAAGCGAUGAACAAGUUAUGGGCAAAUGGGCCUAAUAAGGGUUCGUUUGCGCAGUAAAGAACGAAGGAUCUAAAAAUCCUGAGAAUAAUCGUCGGAUACCUAAAGAACCUACAAGUGGGUGGUGCUUUCCAAAAUCAUUGAAUCUCUCUAUGCCUAAUGUGUCAUUCUUGACAUCUGUUCUAUAUAUUGUUUGCAUGCAUUUUAGUGGUAAAGUAAUGAUGAAAUGUGAUGAUGUGUAUGAAUUGUGAGCACAACUUGCAUAAUGAGAUGGUUGGCAAUUAAUAAUGGCAAACAACCCUAGAUUAUGCAUGAGAAGAAAAUGUGAGCACCCAAAGGAGCAAAAGAACAGAUGUGCACAAUGCAUAGCAUCGUUGCAAUUUGAAAACGUAAAGUAAAGUGACACUAGAGUUAGUGUGAGCCAAAUGAACAAAGUGAUGUAAAGAAUGAGGAAAAGACAAUAUUAAAGUUAAAGUAAAGUGGGGCAAGAAGAACGAAAAGUAAAGAAUUAUGAUUGCUAGAGUUAGCAAAAGUAAAAGAAAUGCCAAAAGAUCCAUGAUUUCUAGAGUGGCAACAGUAAAAGUGACGUAAUUAACUAGAGUUAGUGUACAAGUCCGAGAUUGAACAUACAGUCCUUGAGUUAACGAUUCGAUCAUGCUGCUAUGAGUUCCGUGCUUCGGGGCGGUCCCGCUUCCCCUCGGCGAUGCGCAUUCGGAGUUAUGCAUAGCCGGGUUGGAGUAGACCCGUAAGGACGGUCCUAGCUGUGAGUUCCUGGCAAUGAUGGACCUUUAAUGUGAAGCAAGUCAAUGUGGGCGAAACCCGGUUACCUUAGAGAUUAAAGAACAAAGAGCAAAGAAAAAGUGUACAGAAGCAAAGAACAAGAGAAGUGAAAGAAUAAAGAAUUUGUCAUAUGCUGCAUAUUUAAUGUGAGCAUAUUCUUGUUUUGUUCAGGCAAUUAUCACCCUGUUAUAGAUUGGUUUACUAUAUCUACUUAUCCUUUCUAUUAUGCCUGAGUUCGUCUAGGGGAAAGUCGGUGAUUUGGGCCGAACACUGGUAGACUUUGUUAAUACGUCUCAACCCCACUAUUUUCCACAGGAGCCGGGACCGAGCGAGCCGGCGAGCGACCGCGGUAAAGGUAUCGCACCGUAGUCAGAGGCCACCGGAGUUGGGUUACAUUUUGUUAGUAGACACCCUUUUAUCAUCUUUUGUACUUGAUGAUUAGUGAAGUAAAGAAAGAAUGUAAAGCUUAUUUUGAGGAAAAAGUGAUGUAAGAAAGAAAUGAUGUAAUGAAUGUAAGAAUUCGAUAAAUUACUAGAUGAAUGUAAUGUAUAUGAUCAAAAAUGAAUCAUAGUACAAGUGAAUGUUUAGUUUCCUUUUUCUUUCACUAAUGGCUAUUGCUUACCCUCGUGUAAGCCGUUUGUGUAUGUUUCCGCUAGUGCAUUUCUUGUUUGAAUUUGUACAUGUGAUGAGCCUUGGGCGGACAGGGGAAACUCUGUCCGUUCGGCGUCUGUUUGACGUGCUCGGGUCGGGCCAAAUUGGCAUCGGGCCCGGGGCGUGACAGACCAAAAAGGAUCUUGGAGAGCAAGAUUUGAGAUUUUUGAAUUUUUUUGUAUUGGAAGUGCUCUCGGGGUCCGAACCCUGCAUGUAGGGUUUGAACCUCGUACACGGGAAAACGUGCACAUCAGCAAAUGGGUCGUUUGUGUGAGGGGCUAAGUGCAUUGUGCAAGUGGAAGUGUAUAUAAAUGGGUUUUAUCCCAUUUCCUCUCAUUUCCCUUCACUUCACCAACAAAAGAGAAGAGCUUCUCUCUCUAAACCCCUCUCUCUCUCUCUUAGGGUUGCUCCCAUGGUGGAGUUUUGGUGGAGAGGAGCUUGCUUAGUGAUGAAGCAACCUCUUGUACAACAAGCUUGGCUUGGGAGAGAGCUUUGAUUUGAGGUAGGCUUUAAGAGAUUUAAGGGUUUAUGGUUAGGUUUUGUUUAAAUCCCUUAGAAAUGUGAUAAAUUGGAACCCUAGGUGAUUCUAAUCUAUGCUAUUGCAUGAAUCAUGAAGAGAUUUGAAUAUUGUGCAAAUAUUGGGAUUAUAGGGUUUCAAAAGAGGGUUUCUGAUCAUGAUGGGUUUUGGUCUUAAUUGAUCCCUUAAUUCCACAAUUGAAGGUAAAGCUGACGCGGUGGAUCGCUUAGAUUGAGGUUUUGUUGAGCUUUCGAUGGUCAAUUUGAAGAAAUUGCCAUUUCGGCUUCGUUUGCCGCAGUCGGGAGAAAUCGAUGAUGAUAAAUUGCGCAGCUUGGAUUUCCCGCUUCGUGGCGUCGACACGAGGUGGGGGGUGCUAUCCGAAAUAGCCGGAUUUCAUUCUAUAUCUAAGUUCUACAUUUUGAUCAUAUAGCAUCAUGGCGGGACGGACCGGUCCCCGUACGCGUAAAAGCAGGCAGACUGUAAGGAAGUGAAUUCUCUAAAUGCGAGGAUUGUACUCCAUCCAGGAUCGACUAAUUGUCGAGAGUAUACCCUUUGUGGGAGUUGGGAAUGUCCAAAGCACAAAAAGUGCCUUGGAGUUGAGUUCGCGAGAGCAAAUGAGGCAAAUGGCAUCAUUGGGCUGAUGUUGCUCUCGGGGACCGGUCUCUGCAGGUGAGAGACCGGUUCCCCUGGCUGGAUGUAGCGGGGUUGCGUGAUGCAACCGGUCCCUGGCAGGGAGGGACCGGUUCCCGAACGUGGUCCCAGCGAGAGAUGCCAAAAAAUUGGCUAAGUCCUGAAAAUCAAGCUCUCGGGGACCGGUCUCUCAGGUGAGGACCGGUCUCCCGAGGACCGGUCUCCCGGGGAGAGACCGGUUCCCGAACGCGUGCGCCCGAGGGAAGCUCUCGGGGACCGGUCCCAAGUCGGGGAGACCGGUCCCUCCGCGCGAAAACUGCCCAGUAAGGGCAGUGCACAGGGGUGAAAGUUGAGGGGCUUUUAUGCAAAAUGGCCUUUAUUUGAGUGGGCUGAGCCCUCUCUCUCCCUCACACUCUCUCAUUUCACUCUCUCUCACUCUCAUUUCUCUCUUGCUCUCUCUCUCUCUAGAAAGGAAAGAAGGAGAAGAAGAACAAGAAGGAGAGGAAGGAAAAGAAGAGGAAGAUAAGGAAGGAGAAGAAGAAGGAGAUCAAGAGAAAGGCUUUGAGCACCUCCAUCUCCCUCUCCUCUUCCCAUUGGUGUAGCUCUUGAGGUAAGCUACUAAACCCUAGCUUUGUAAACUUAGGGUUUUUGGGUUUUAUACCUUGGAAUGGGUCAAAUGGACCCUAAGCUAGCUUCUAAAUAGAUCAAUCCCAAGAAUCUAGGGAUUUAUUGGGUGGUUUGCUAUAGGUGCAAACCUAGGGCUCCAAAAAUGGGGUUUUUGUAAAAGUAUGAGAUUGAUCUCAUUUGAAGCCUUGGAAACCCUAUUGAUAGAUACCAAAACGCGGGGGCGAAGUCGAUUUCGGCAUUCGGCGAACCGACGUGAAGUUCUCGGCAAAAUCGGGCCGGGAUAGUUUGGAUUUGGGCGAGGAAGGCUAAAGCCUCUUCGUGAAGCUCGCCGAGAAGAAUUUCCAAAGCCUCUACAUCGAUAAAAAGGUGGGGGGUGUCAUCCGAAACUUUCGAACUCCUUUCUAUGUCUUAGAUUGCAUUUAAUCUCAUCUCUUCAUGUUGCAUUGUAGGAUUGCAUAGCAGCUCCAUUCCUUAUGCUUUCUAAUGGAUGACCUAGUGUACUUGGAACGCUUGGUAACUAGAUAGGUGAGGAUUGGGUCGGAACGUGGAUCCUAUAAUGCUAGAGAUAGAGAUGAACCCGAUGGGGGUAUUGAUGACAUAGAAAGUAGUGUUAUUGUCAAAGAACAAACGAGUGGCAUCCAAAUAUUGAAUGAUAACGAGUGGCAUUAAUGUAGUGUAAAUAACACUAGAGGUCGAUGGACCUAGGGAUAGGUGGAUCCCUUAGAAAAUGCCUUGUGAACAAUGAAUUUAGAAAACUAAAUAGCAUUGCAUGAAUGUCGGGAACCGAUGAUUCCGCGAUAGUCGUUGACCCUUGUGUAGGGCGUCCUCACUUGGAGAGGAUUCGAUUGGGUUAUUGACUCUAGUUGUAGAGCCUCCUCACUUGGAGAGGAUUGGAUUGGGUGUUGACCCUAGUUACAGUGUAUCCUCACUUGGAGAGGAUAGAUCUAGCUCACAGUCUGCGUUUAGGGUGGUAUAGCCAUCCAAUCCCAACAUGGAGGGGAUUGUCGUCGAGUACUCCGGAGUGUCGCGCGACUAGGACCACUUGGAGGUCCGGACCACAUGGAGGUCCGCAGACGGUCCCGGGCUUGGGUGCACUUGGAGCUCCCUCCCCACUUUGGGAUUUGAAGGUGAGUCAUGGGCGAGCCCUAGGGCCUCGCCACAGAUUGGGUAAAUGAAAAAGGUUAAAGGUUUAUAAAUGUCAGUGAACAUUACUAUUCGAACAUGGAUCGAAUUUGUUAGCAUGGUAGCAAACCUUUAUUAUAUGAUGCAUGCAUUCAUAUUCAUGAUUAUGGGCAUAGUAGCAUAGUUUUCCUACUACUGCAUUUACAGCUUUCAGAUACAUAUCUAUCUAUCUAUCUAUUUGUUGUUACUUGUGCCCACUUGGACCUAGUGGGGAGAUCGGCAGAGUCGGCGGCCGAGCCCACUGGGUAUGGAAGAUAGUUCUCACCCCACUCUAAUUCCAGUGGUAGGUUCAGGGCUGCAGAGAGAGGACCGCGGCAAGGGCGUCGCGCCCGACCAGUGAGACCGUGGUAGUAUAGUAGCUUUCCUUUUCGCAUUAGUCACCUAUGUAUUGAGAGAGAUUCAUGUAGGUGAGAUCGGAGAGCUAUGUAUUUUGAGGAUCAAAUGUAUUCAUUUUGGAAAAUGAUGUAAAGGUAAAGAAUGUAACUAUUGUAAUAGUUAGUAAAGUACUCUCUUUAUUUCACUCGUAUAUCUUGUGGAUUACUUGCUCUUCUUGUUGUUGGCACUGUUUGUGCCCUCGUUGAAUGUGUAUAUUUAGAGUUUAAAGUCCUGGGUAAAUUCUUAUACACAUUCCUGUGGUUGAGCCUUGGGCGGGCAGGGGAGGUGCUGUCCGUUCGGCGGUCUGUCGCCGCGGCCGAAUCGCGCCAAAUUGGUAGNCCCUCGUUGAAUGUGUAUAUUUAGAGUUUAAAGUCCUGGGUAAAUUCUUAUACACAUUCCUGUGGUUGAGCCUUGGGCGGGCAGGGGAGGUGCUGUCCGUUCGGCGGUCUGUCGCCGCGGCCGAAUCGCGCCAAAUUGGUAGUGGUUUCGGGGCGGGGCGUGACACAAACAGCCUCUGCUCGCAAAGGCUGCUCUCGGGGACCGGUCCCUCUAGGGACAGACCGGUCCCCGAGCGCGAAAAUUGCCCAGGCAGACUGGGUCAUAUUGGAAGAGUGGAGGGGUUUAUUAGCAAUUGUUACAUGAGUUGAGGGGUAUAGAGGGGAAUGAGCUCUCUCUCUCGCCCCCUCAUUUCUCUCCCAACACUCAACCCUAGCUCUUCCUUUCUCUCUCUAAACUCCUUUCUCUCUCUCUAGAAGGUGAAGGAGGAGAUUUUGGUGGAGGAGCAAGCAAGGAGGAGGGCUAGCAUCAUCUUCUUCUUCCUCUCCUCCAUUAGAGCAAGUUUCUUGAGGUAAGCUUUGAGAGCUUUCAUGGUAGAUCCCUCUAGAUGGAUUUUUAUCUUCUAGAAUUGGUUUUGUUGGAACCCUAGCUUGCCAAAUAGAAGGUUUAUACUUGAAUCUAGGAUUUGAGAUGGGAUUUUUGCAAGUUGCAAACCUAGGGUUCCAAAUUGGGGUUUUUGGAAAUAGAGGGUUUUGAUCUAAAUUGAUCAUGUGUUAACCUAAUUACUAGGUAUCUAAACGCAUUGGAAAGGUCGGUUCGUCGAUUCAUCGAGCCGGUGCAAAGAUAUUGCCGAAACAAGCGUUUGAGGCUUCGUAUUGACUCGUAGAGUUGAAGCGACGACCGGGGAUCGCGAAGUCGAGUACCUAGCCUCGCUACGUUAUCAAGAGGUAGGGGGUGUCAUCCUCCUCCCUAUGUCUAAGUACUUAUAUGUUGAUCAUAUUCCAUAUGUGUAUAUCAUGCAUAUUACGGUGUUUAGAUGUUGCAUUUACUAUUCUUGCAUGCUCCUUAUAGUGUGGCAUAGUAGGCUUGACACGUGAACAUAGGGUGCAUGAGAAUGAGCUAUUGUGACAUAGAACCCUAUAGAGAUAAGUUAAAUGAUAACUUGAUCUUGCAUCGAUGAUAUAUGACUAGUAUAGUCAAGACAUUGCAUUAUGACGAGUGGCAUGUGAACCAAGUAAACAACUUGACGAGUGGCAAUAGAAUUUAGUGUUAAAGGAACACUAGUGACAUGAUGGAAUUAGGGGAUAGGUGAGUCUCCCCAUUUGACACUGUCACGCCCCGAGCCCGCUACCACUUUGGUCCGGUUCAGGCGCGUCAAACAGACGCCGAAUGGACAGAACCUCCCCUGUCCGCCCAAGGCUCAAGCGACUAGAUCGUGUACAACAAGUUCCAAGAAAUACACUUGAAUACAUACACGAUCAAACAACAAAAGCAAGAGCACAGACAGUGCUAAACAAAUCAAGAACAAGCAUCACGAGUAACGAACAUACAAGUGAAUAGAAGAAAGAGAUACUACACUAAUACAUUUAUUUAACCACUUUAAAACAUUUGAUUACAUUUAACUUCCAAAAUGCAAACAUAAGCCUUACAUUACAUUCAUCCCAAAAUACCUCACAUCCUAUACAUCAUCUACUCUCAAGCAUAUGUACAAGGUAGCUCUAAUGCAAUAGGAAGGUAUACUACCAACGCUAGGGCGCUAAGCCCUUACCAUGAUCCUCAGCUGGCGCACCCGAACUCAGACCUGCAACAAAGUGGGGUGAGAACUAUUGUCCAUAGUUCCCAGUGGGUUCGGCCGCCGACUCCGUCGAUCUCCCCACUAGGUCUAAGCAGGCAUAGGCAGAUAGAUAUAUAGAUAGAUAAACGGGAAAGUGAUAAUAAUAAGAAGUAACAAUAAGUAAAGGUGAAAGUACCCUACCAUGCCUCAAUUCAAUAUCAUGCAUGCAUGCAACUCAUAGUAAAAGAACUAGCUACUAUGCUACUAUGUUCAACAAUAAAGUUCAUUAAACUGUUUACCCAAUUGCUUGGCCAACCCACGGGUUUGCCUCAAACUCUCAUCUCAAAGUCUCAAAGGGGGAGGAGACUUUAAACGGUCUACCCACCGAGACCGCCUGCGGACAAGUACGUUAGUCCAACCUGUGACAAACCUCCAGAGUGCACGGCUUGUGUGGAGUGACCACGACAAGCGCAACAGGCUACACAGCACGAUCCAAUCCUCAAACUAGAGAUGAUACCGUACCGACUAGGGUUAUAUUCAUCAAAUCCAACAUAUGUUCAAUACUCAACCUCCUAGUGCUUCAACUACACUAAGGUACUCGUAUGCCACUCGUUAUAAGUUUACAUUGACUAGCUGCCACUCGUUAUAGUUCAAUGUUUUCAUACGCUAGCUAUAUUCUACUAGGUUUUUUUUUCAUCCACAUAAGCACAACCACUUGGUUAUCAUUUGCCUAGAUUCUAAUCCAUCACGUAUCAUCUCAUAUAGGGUUCAGUUAUACAAACUAACAUCAUGCAUACUAGAUUCAAGUGUUAUAUCAACCAAGCUACAUUAACACUAGCAUGCAAAUAUGGUUACAAGUAUCUAAAUACCCUAUAUGUAUUAUGCUCAAUAUGCAACAUAGUCAACAAUAAACUUAGACAUAGGGAGCAGCUCAACUGCUUUGGGAUGGUCACCACCCACCUUUUGAUAGUGCCGCAAGGUUAGGAAACUCGACUUUGCGAUCCUUGGUCGCCGCCUUGACUCUUCGGGUCAAUACGAACCUACGAGCACUUGUUUCGGCGAUACCUCCGUACUCGCUCGACGAAUCGAUGAACCGUCUUCGCCAACGCGUUUAGAGACCUAGAAAUUAGGUUUACGACCAAUUAAAAGAGAUCAAAACGCAUUAACUAUCAAAAACUCAUUUUGAUGCCCUAGGUUACAAUCAAUGGGGAAAACCAUGAUUCAAGCCCCAGAUUCAUGCUAGAAUCAUCCUCCUAGCAUCAAUAGGUCUCAACAAAAAAAUCUCCAAGCUAUAAAAACCCAAACCCAAAAAGAUACCAUUGUAGGGUUUAGAGCUUACCUCCAAAAGCUUCUCCAAACUUGAGGAAGAAGAUGAAGAAGGUGAUGCUCUUCUUCUUUGUCUCCUUCUCCUUCUACUCCUUCUCCUUCUUCUCUAGUUUCUUUUCUUUCUAGAGGGAGAGAGGGAAAGAAAAUGUGAGUGUGGGAGAGGGGAAAUGGGAAAAGAGAGAGAGGAAAUACCAUAUAAUUGCUGAAACACCCUUCAACUUUGCUAUAAUUGCUGAAACACCCUUCAACUUUGCUUAUAUCACCCAGCCCAACCUGGGCCAUUUCGGCUACGAGGACCGGUCCCUCUGAGGGAGGACCGGUCCCCGAGAGCAAUUCCCAAUAUCAUGCGUACGAGAACCGGUCCCCUCCCUGAGGGACCGGUCCCCGAGAGCAUUUCUGGGCAGCAAGCUUACGGGAACUGGUCCCCUCCCAGAGGGACCGGUCCCCGAGAGCUGGAAAUCUGCAUUUAUGCAGAUUUUUGCACAGUUUCUCUCGCGGGUCCUUCUUAAUGCACUUUUUGCAUUUUUGAUGUUUUCAGACUUUCCGAAACACCCCAACUCGACAACUAGUUGACUUUAAACGUAGUCUAACUCUCGAAUUUCGAGAAUUCACUUCCUUACAGACAUCUUGCAUGAGAUCGGUGUGACAGUGUUGACCCUAGAGACAGGAUAUCCUCAGUGGACGAGGAUUCGAUCAUACUCACAUAGUCUGUUCAGCGCUUGUGGCGGUCGCUCCGCACAAGUAGUGCUGUCACGCCCCGAGACCGCUACCAAUUUGGUCCGGUCCGGGCGCGUCGAACAGACGCCGAACGGACAGGACCUCCCCCGUCCGCCCAAGGCUAACCAACUGAUCAUGUAUAAGAAUUUACCCAAGAAUCAAUUCAUGAAUACACGAUCACGAGUGGCACCACCAGUGCCAACCAACACAAGAGCAAGAUACAAGUAUGAGACAUACAAGUAAAUAAAGAGAGAAGGUUCUAUCUAUUACAUUCAUUCAACUUAAUACAUUUAAUUCCACCUUUCACAUUCUUCCAAAACAUGUAUACAAGCACUCUCAAACCUCACCCUAUACAACAUCUACUCUCAACAUAAAUACAGGGUAGAGCUACUGCAAAAUGGGUGGAUAGCUAAUGCAACUAGGGCGCUAAGCCCUUACCAUGAGCCUAGCGCUCGCCGGGGACACCCGAGCUCGAACCUGAAAAGAGUGGGGUGAGAAUUUUCUUCCAUAGUUCCCAGUGGGUUCGGCCGCCAACUCCGCCGGUCUUCCCACUAGGUCCAAGUGGGCACAGGUAGAUAAACAGAUAGAUAGAUAUGGAAAGCUGUAAUAACAGAAUAGCAAAGCUACGCUACCGUGCCCGAAUCAUAUAUAUAAAGAUGCAUGCACAAUGAAAUGGAUAAUCAACUAGCUCUUCAUAUGUCCAAGAAGUAAGGUUGUUUACUUGUUUAUUAAUCUCGUGGCUCAUUCAAGGAUCCGCCUACUACUCACAUAGCCGUCUCGAUACUACGAAUCCGAGACUGUCUGCAGGACCCCACAUAGGCCAUCCCUCGGGACCCCAAAUAGGCCAUCCCUAUCCCACGGGACCCCAAAUAGGCCAUCCCUCAUGACUGACUCCGGAGCGCACAACUUGUGUGGAGCGACCACCACAAGUCGGGAACAGACAAUGAGUAGGAUCCAAUUCUCUCACCUCAAGGGUAUCCUGUUGUAACGCACUGGACCUUGCAAAUUGCAGGGUUCGAGUGAUUGAUUGUGUCCUGAGCUUUUCCAGACCUUCUGGUGGGUCGUUGACAGUGUUUCGACCUAUGGUUCGAGUCCCGAGAAUUGAGGUUUUAAGCUUGGCACCAAAACCCGAAAAGUCGGAUUUUUGGUCAGCUCUCGGGUAGGCAUCAGCAGACCGCGUACCGGUACGGGGUUGCUUGCUGUACCGGUACGGGGUUGAUGGCUGUACCGGUACGAGCUCGCGUAUCGGUACACAGAGCACUUCUCAGCGAACCCGAGGCUCGGGUUUGGCAUUUUCGUGGGUUGUGUACCGGUACGCGGGCCCCUGUACCGGUACGCAGUGCAAUUUCUGAGCAGUUCGAACUGCAGGGGUGUUUUUGCGAUUGUGGCUACUCUAUAUAACACCCAUGCCCCUUGGACCUCUCCUUGAGCUUGGAACAGCAGACGAAGAGGUAGGGUUGCCCUCUCCACCAUUCCAUUUGGUUUUGAUCCUCUUUUAGCUUAAGUUUUGGUGGAUUAAACCUCUCUUUUGUUCCUUUUGCUUGAUUGGAGGCUUUCCACCAGGAGUUUAGCUUAAGUUUUGGUGGAUUAAACCUCUCUUUUGUUCCUUUUGCUUGAUUGGAGGCUUUCCACCAGGAGUUUAGCUUAAGUUUUGGUGGAUUAAACCUCUCUUUUGUUCCUUUUGCUUGAUUGGAGGCUUUCCACCAGCGAGCUCUGGACUAGCGAGUCUUGAUAGAGCGAAGGAACUUCAACCGUAGAGCACUUGGAGCUUGUUGCGGAGUUCUAGAGACCAAGAGGUAGUAGACAUGUGCUUUUUUGCCGACAUGUUUGAUUGGAUUUAUGCUAGAUAUGAAACCCUAGGAUUUGGCCAUAUUAGGGUAUUAAAUGGGGAUUUGUUGAUUUGAGACGGCUUUGAAACCUAUUUGAUGCCGUGUUUAGAACCUUUGUUAUAGGUUAGCAUUAAGAACAUCAAAAUCAAAAAUGAAGGCAUCUAACUCCAUUUGGAGAUCGUGAGAGCUUCCUUCGCAAACUCGGUGACUUUUCUUCAACCUAGCCCGAAAUAGGUUAUUGUUAUUGAAGCCAAUCAGUUGUUAGUUGUUUAGGAUAACACUUGUUCCUACAUUUAGGGUAUUUGGAGGCUAUGCUGGACACCUUGUUCGGGAAACGAAAUGAGUUCGAAAGAUUGGUGCGGUUUACUUCAAGUGGAAAUGGGCAAAUGGCCCCUAUGUUCCCAUAUAUUGUAGCGUAAGUAUUUUUAAGCAUUUCUAUGCUAAUUGGAAUUUAUGUGAAUUUUAGCAACACUUAAAAUGCCCAUGCGUUAUGUGUAAGUUAAAUGUUCACUCUAUAUAGCUGGUUUAUUAGGUUAAUUUCAAUGCUGUGAGAGGAAUGCCGGAUUUCGUUUCUAGUAUGCUAAAUUAGCUCUUAUUACGUGGUAUGUGGAACAUUGUACUAUGUUAUGAUUUGAUAAUAGUUCAUCAAGAGGCCUUGAAAUAGUAAAUAUGAAACUACAAACAUAGAGACAUAAUGUUAGGCAUUGUACAUCUGCCUAUAUCAUAUUCCAUGUUAGCAAGAUGCCAUGACAUAGAGAUAGCGCCUUUGGGACAUUCGCAGUACCAUUCCAAUGUUAUUAGACAUGAGACUUUAGUAUUGCUGACAGACAUCUGACUACUUGACAUGUGCUCAUAUCGCAACAUGCUUAUUCGAGGUCGCUCCCUACAGCCGGGCACUCCGAGAUAUCCAUCGCCGAUCAAUUCGCCCAUGCGGGGUGGCCGCCGAAGUGGAUUGCCGUGGCAGGCUCUAUUCCUAGGGUGGCCGAUUGAUGACUACCCACGAGACAUUAGGCUCGCACGCAGACAGCGUACGGUGCGGUCCAAAGCCAUUAACAGCUCUUCGUGGUCUCUUCAGAUUUGUCUUUGAGUAUUCACUAUGACAUGUGGACAGAUGAUGACUUAGUGUAUUGACUGGACAUCGACUAGAAAUGUAAAUAAUAACAUCUUUACUAAUUGCAUUGAGGACAUCGUAUUGGUUGCAUACCUAUGAGCAUUCAUGUAUACACAUCCAUGUACAUUAUGUAUAGUUGCUUAUUCUUAUGCCUAUCAUGCUAAGUAGAGACAUCUGGUUAUAGUAUGUUACACUUUUACUUACCUUUCGCUUUAUUGCUUUCAUAGUUACUGACCACUUCCCUUGUAGCUUUGGGCCUUGUGGUGCAUUCACUGAAGUCAGUAAUUGCCCAUUAGGAACUAUUUUUAAUAGUUCUCACGCCCUCUUUUUGUGGUUUCUUUCAGAGCCUUCUGCACCGGCGGAGGCACGGGAUCGCGGCAAGGGGAUCGCAUAGCUAGCUAGCGAGGAGCGGUUCUUUGCCUAGGUGGUUUACUCUUUCUUUUUAUAGUUGAGAGAGUGAGAGUUUUUGUAUCCAUGUAUAGAGACCACCUAUGUAUCUACCUUUAGCACUUGUAUUUGGGAUUUCCUUUGUAUUACUUUAUACUUUUAUUAGUGGAUCCCAGCUUUGUGUUCCUUUCUCUAUUGUAGAACUUAGUAUUAUAUCAUGCUCUGAUACUCUUAGAAGUCUUUUAUUACUGCUUUUAUUAUCGUUGCUAUUAGACGUCUUAUAUGUUUUAGAAAUAUGGCGGGUCUGGGCACACGCCGGGCGGGCUUCCGCUGGGUCCCGAGGCGUGACAGAUAAAUUUGGUAUCAGAGCCUAGGAUUGAGUCUUAGGGGACCUAGCAAACCUUAGGCCGGUUGGACUAUAGAAAAUAGGCUCGUGAGAGACGAGGUCUAUUUGAUUCGCGAAGCGAAAGUACCAUGAUUGGGUAUCUUGAUAACUCUAAAAAGUUAGAGUUGGAUCGAAGUGUCUGGCUUCUAACUUCGCGGAGGGUUACGUUUGCGGCCGACAACGUAACAUCGGGAGUUAGUAGUGUAUAACACUUCUUUACUUUCGCAUGAUUUGGGUAUUGCUUAUUGGGCGAGGAUGAGAUAGCGCGGGUUUUACUAACUUGCGCUUUCAUGUUUUGUAGUGACGAUGCCGAUUACACGCUCUCAAUCUGCCGGAGCGGACAAUACGGCGAACUUUGAGGAGGUCGAGACCUCCGCUACCUCCGGAUCCAGCGAGGUUCGUGAGUUGAGGGGCCAGCUUGCGGCCCUCACUGAUUUAGUCACUCAGCAGGCGGAGGCGGCCCGACAGCAGACUUAGGCGGCGCGCCGACAGGAGGCGCGGAUGAAGCACCUGGAGGACCUUUUACUGUAGCAGGCAGCAGCCUCUAGGGAGACUCAGGACCCUACACCGCCAGCACCAGUUGUGGACGUCGCACCGAGAGCGCCGUCCCCCGCGCCGAGUUCUUCGCGUGCGGCGCCUGUGGCCGCACCCCAGGAGGAGGUUUUGGUGGCACCACCUGUGCAGAGGCCCCCGGUUGGAGCUACAUUCCCUACCUUGGUUGAGGGGGCGGAGCGAGACAGACUGAUAGAGCGCCUCAAUAAGUUCAGGCGGUGCAGUCCUCGAGUCUUCGACGGCAAGAAGGUCGACCACUGGAUUGUGGAGAAGUGGUUGAUGCAUAUGGAGAAGCUCUUCCGCGACACCUUCAUGGAGGAGAGGGAUCGAGUUUGGCUCGCCACUCACCACUUGGACGACGAGGCCUACCGCUGGUGGUUGGAUCUCCAGGAGCACCCCAGCACUGACUUGGCGGCUAUCACUUGGACGAGGUUCAAGGAGCUUCUUUUGGCCCAUUACUUUCCGACUAGCGUCAUGCGAAAGAUGGAAACCUACGCAACUUGCGCCAAGGCGACCGGACUGUGGCCGAGUACGAGCGGGAGUUUUCUCGUCUUUUGCAUUACGUGCCUUUCGUCGUGCGGGACGACGAGCACAAGGCACGCAUUUUCAAACGAGGAUUGAGACCGUCCAUCUUUCGGUUCGUGCAAUCCUCUAACCUCCAAACCUACCAGGAGGUAGUGGAUCGCGCGCUCAUUGUGGAGAGCGGCGCGACAGAUGUCCAGGAGCAGCGAGAGGCUAGGGACAAGGGUAAGGCCAAGAGGCCUGCGGCAGAGGGUGCGAGCCAGACGCACUCUAGGAGGCCGCCGAAACAUCCGAGGAGUCAGCAGUGUGGACGCGGCUCAGCAGCCUAUCGAGGAGGAUCCGAUCGGCACCGGCCUUCCCCGUGUGUGAUCUGCGGUGGUCCCCAUUUCCGACCGCCGUGUCGACAGCGGGCGGGCAGGUGUUUCCAGUGUGGCCAGGAGGGCCACGUUCGUACUGAGUGCCCGAGAGGUUCUUCACCGGCACCGUCGACUGCAUCGGCACAGGCCCUACCAGCCGCCAGCCAGGGGACUCCAUUGGCGCAGUACCAGUCUGGGCGGCCACUCAUCCAGCGCCAGAGCGAGGGAUCCCGACAGGCCCUGAGUGGGCGCAUGUAUGCCGCUCAGACCGAGGAGGCGGCAGCAGCCAAGGAUGUGGUUGCAGGUAUCAUUUUACUUGAUGGCAUUAGAGUACGUGCUUUAUUUGAUACCGGUGCAUCGUAUUCAUUUAUAGAUCGGCUGUUUGCCGAGUUGCAUGGCAUCCCAUUGGUUUCUUUGUUGCAUCCGGGACACGUUGUUGUACCCAAUCACAUUUUGGAUAUUAGAGAGUACAGCCCCAGUUGCCCUGUUCGGAUAGGAGAUUGGAUCAUGCCGGUAGAUUUGCUAGCUUUGCGCAAGCUUGGGGAUUUUGAUGUAGUCUUGGGAAUGGAUUGGUUAACCAAAUAUUAUGCCACGAUUGAUUGCAAGAAUCGCACGGUUACUUUUAGAGAACCGGGGCAGACCGAGGUGAUAUUUAGUGGAUGCUGGAGUUCGCUGUUUGCGAUGACGAUCAGCUCGUCUCGAGCUAGGCAGGUGAUCAGCAGAGGUUGUGUAGCCUAUUUGGCUAGUGUUGUGCUGAGGGGCGAGGAUGACACCCCUAGGAUCGAGGAUAUUCCGGUGGUGCGGGAGUUCCAGGAUGUGUUUCCAGCUGAGCUACCGGGCAUGCCUCCUGAUAGGGAGAUUGAGUUUGUGGUAGAUCUCGUCCCUGGGACUACCCCAAUCUCAAAGGCACCCUAUAGGAUGGCACCGGCAGAGCUGAGGGAGCUGAGGGCACAGCUGUAGGAUUUGUUGGACAAAGGCUUCAUACGGCCGAGCGUUUCACCUUGCGGAGCACCCGUUUUGUUCGUCAAGAGGAAGGACGGAUCACUUCGCCUUUGCGUGGACUAUCGUGAACUUAAUAAGGUCACGAUUAAGAACAAGUAUCCGUUGCCGAGGAUCGACGACUUGUUUGAUCAGCUUCAGGGAUCGUGUGUGUAUUUCAAGAUAGACUUGCUGUCACAGCCCGCGAGCCCCGCCUAUUUGGUCGAGGUCGCGGCGCCGACAGCGCCGAACGGACCGGGGAUUCCCCUGUACCGCGGACAGAGUCUCCCCUGUACGUUCAAGGCAUCGCAAUCAAUACAAUUACAACAGGUUCCAAACAGGAACAGUAUUCAACAUACAACGAUUGCAUAAGGAAGGUAUCAAACAACAUAAACACAUCCUAAGUUAUUACAAGCAUUCACAUUCAUACUUUUUACAUCCCAAUUACUAUUCCUUUACAUCCCAAUGCAAUCUAAGUUAUUACAUCAUUUACUCAUUACAAUUUGAUACAUUGUGUUCUUUCUAUUUUCUAUACCCCUAAGCUAUGUCGACGGGGUACUACUAGCUCUGGUCUCUGUGGUAGGGUGCUAACUACGGAGCUACGCCCUCGCCUCGCGCCAUCGCGCCGCACUCGUGCAAACCUGUAACACCCCAAAAGCAACGUGGGGUGAGAACUAACUCCAUAGUUCCCAGUGGGUACGGCCACCCAAGGAAAAAGCUCGACCGACAUGUCCGAAGGAGGCAAGCUACAGGUUAGUUCAAUAAACAGAUAGAUAUGAUAAUAAGAUCAUGCAACUAACAAUGCCAUGCAUUGCCUCGCGAUAUGCAAUCUGAAGAUCAUGCAAUAAUGCAACUAUACAACCAACUAGUAAUUCAAUCGAUUACUACUUUCAUCCAAUUGACAUUUAAGGUUUUCUGUCAUGUACCAUUUUAAUCAUAAGGUUUCAUCUACCUUUACAAAGCUAGCCGCCCGACUCGGUCUUGAGUCAAUCAUCUGCGGAGUACCGCACAAAGCCAGGCACGAGGCGAAGGACAUCUCACUUGCACCUCGGCCUUAAAUCCCCUCAAGUAGGACAAUCACUAUAGGUCAUAAGCUUGUUACCCAAUCACUUGGCUAACCCGAAGGGGGUCGCCCUCAAUCUCACAUCUCAAAGUCUCAUAGGGGAGAAGUCUCACUGAACUGUCCCCCGAGACCGCCUGCGGACAGCACACAGACCGUCCAGACAGCACACUGACUGUUCCCCUAGUGACCAACCUCCGGAGUGCACAGCUUGUGGGGAGCGACCCCUCCAAGCGCAGACAGGCUAUGUGAGCACGAUCAACUCACGAACAGCAGCAACCUACCCUCUAAGGGUAAUCUCAUCAUGGAAUCAAGGUAUAAUUGUACCCAAUCUCAUAGUGUCUCAACUACACUAAUGUUCUCAUAUCAAGGUCAUCAACAAUCAUAUGCCAUUCAUCAUAGUUUUCUAACUAGAUGCCACUCGUCAUUUAGACUCAUCAUCAACACUAGUUACAUCAUACUAGUUCUUUAGCAACAUAAGCAUCAACCAUCACAUAUAGGGUCUAGGUUCUUAUCCACAUUUAUCAUCCCAUUGUAGGAAACCAAACAUAUCAUUAUAUUAAUACUACAUUGUAUUCCUAAUGUCAAGUUUUCUAAUCAUCCAAGAGUUUUAGACCCAAGUCAACAUGCAUAUGCUAAUUAGCAUAUGUUACUCAACAUAGUCCACAAAUACAUUAACAUGCUUAUGUUCCAACUUGCAUAAUAUAACCUAUGCAUUCAUACAACAUCAUUUUCAUGCAUCUCUCUAACAUUUAGUUCAUGCAUCUCUCUAACAUUUAGUUCAUGCUUUCAUCUAACAUUCAACAUAUUAAUUGCCAUUGUCCACUAGCAUGCAUUAUAUUCAUAUGCAAUUAUCAUGUAAUAUACAUUUCUCACAUUAUAUGCAUUUACCCAAUCUUCACAUCAUAUGCAUCAUAUAGCAUUUAACCCAUUAUAUGCAUCAACUAGGAAAUCAUAUUUUUUUCUUCGACAUGAGGGCGACCUAGUCGCUUCGGUAAGCACAACCCCCCUGUUAGCGCAUUCCGAUUGCUUGUCGACACUUGCAAUCGGCCUCCCGCGGCAUCCGGUGCCCGGUUUGGCGUGAUCUCUCGCGCGAUCACCCGAACAGCCUCCAAUUCACAAUCCGAAAAUUAAAGGUCUUCGGUUAUGUGCCACGAUGCUUCAAAUCCGUUUUCAUGAGUAUACGACGUCGCCUCGGCCCUCCAGGCGAAAAUGAAGCCUAAACGUCCGUUUCUUUAAUAACUUUGUAACGGCUCGUCGGAUUGCCGAACCGUCUUCGCCAACGCGUUUCGUUACCUAGCAAUUAGGUUUACGGAGGGUCAAAUUAGAUCAAACCCUCAUAUUUUAAAAAUUAGCAUUUUGAACCCUAGGUUUACAACUAGAUAAAAAUCCACCAAAUUUCUUCGUGAAUCAAGCAUCAUUCAUCUAGUUAGCGUGCUAGGAUUCCUCUAAAUCCAUUUGUAAGGUAUUUAGACCAACCAUUAAGGAUCUACCAUUAAAGGGGUUUGAAGCUUACCUCUCAAGCAAGCUCCAAUGGAGAGGAAGAACAUGAAGGAGAUGAAGAUCCAUUUCCAAGCUUGCUUCUCCACCAAUUUCAUCAAUUUUGGGAGAGAAUUAGAGAGAGAAAAGGGAGGUUUUGUCUCUCCCAUUCCAUGUAUGCGUGUGUGUGCGUGAUGCGUGUGUGUGUGUGUUGCAUUCGGCUGAGGAGGAAGGAGGAGAAAAGGGAUUUAAUCCCAUUUUGCAAGUUAGCCCCUCAACUAUUCAACCUUCCAAUUUAGUCNUUUUUCUUCGACAUGAGGGCGACCUAGUCGCUUCGGUAAGCACAACCCACCUGUUAGUGCAUUCCGAUUUCUUGUCGACACUUGCAAUCGGCCUCCCGCGGCAUCCGGUGCCCGGUUUGGCGUGAUCUCUCGCGCGAUCACCCGAACAGCCUCCAAUUCACAAUCCGAAAAUUAAAGGUCUUCGGUUAUGUGCCACGAUGCUUCAAAUCCGUUUUCAUGAGUAUACGACGUCGCCUCGGCCCUCCAGGCGAAAAUGAAGCCUAAACGUCCGUUUCUUUAAUAACUUUGUAACGGCUCGUCGGAUUGCCGAACCGUCUUCGCCAACGCGUUUCGUUACCUAGCAAUUAGGUUUACGGAGGGUCAAAUUAGAUCAAACCCUCAUAUUUUCAAAAUUAACAUUUUUGAGCCCUAACAUGAAAUAACCUCCAAAUAAUCCAAAUUAAAUGGAGCAAUAUGCUAAUAAUGAUCAUUAGAGACUACUAGAACUCUUAAAGCUAAGGAUUAAGCCAAAUCCCAAAAGCUUACCCCAAUGUGAACGCCGCAACGAAAACACGCCGCUCCAACGGGCGCACGAAAGCUCGAUCCGUCGCCUCCAACGCGUUCGCAAGCUCGAUCUCCACCAACCCUCCAAUUUUUAGAGAGAGAUAUAGAGAGAUGAGAGAGAUAUUUAGAGAGAGAAAGGAGGGUUUCUCUCCCCCUUCCAUGCGUGCGUGUGUGUGUCCAUGGUGGCGGUGGUCGGUUGAAGGAGAAGAAGCUGAUGCUUCUAAUUAAAGUCAACACCAACAUUAUUCACUCCAAGCAACUUAAAAUCUGAUAUCUUUCACCGGAGCUCCCUGAAUGUCCGUUUGAGCUCAAACUUGACAGUCAUGUUCGGUUUUACGUACUGAGUAAGAAUAUAUUUUAAGUUUUCAGUUUCGACCCCGUUUGGUUACCGAAAACUGUACCGAACUGUAAUCUUUAUCAGAUAACUGUCGGAUUUUAUUUCUCACUCUACGGGCGUCAGAAAAAUAUGAAACUUUAAAUCUAGCCUCAUUAAAAUAUUACUGACAUCCCCGCCAAUUUUCAUAAUUUUCUGAGACUGUGCAUUUUCUACUAAUUUAUCUGUCCCGUUUCUCACAGAAAAUUUUAAAUUUUUUAUUUUCGCUCCGAUUUCAGCACAAAUCAUUUCUGAUUUAUGUUUUACUCCUCUAAAUCCAAUAAAAAUAGUAUCUCACACUAUUUUUAUUUAUUUUUUAUUUUUAUAUUUAAAAUCCGGUAUGUUACAUUACACCGUAACUUCACCGGAACCAUUUAAAUGUACACCGUAACUUCAUAGCUUUAGAAGUCCGGUACCAUACACUUGCAGUCGGGAUAACACCAAUUGAAGAUCAAACCCGAUGAUGUUUCGAAGACGGCUUUUAGAACACGGUAUGGACACUAUGAGUUCAUUGUCAUGCCGUUUGGGCUUACUAAUGCCCCGGUAGCUUUUAUGGAUCUAAUGAACCGUGUUUUUAAGCCUUAUCUAGACAGGUUCGUCGUGGUAUUCAUCGACGACAUUUUGGUAUAUUCCCGAAGUGAUGCAGAUCACGAGGAGCAUUUGAGUUUUGUACUCCAAGUACUUCGGGAAAAGGAGCUUUUUGCCAAGCCGAAAAAGUAUGAAUUUUGGCUUCGAGAGGUAGCCUUCCUUGGACAUUUGAUAUCGGGAUCAGGUAUUGCGGUGGAUCCCAAGAAGAUUGAGGCUAUCCAGGAUUGGCCGAGACCGACGAGCGUCACGGAGAUUCGGAGUUUCCGUGGACUGGCCGGCUACUACCGGAGAUUUGUCGAGGGGUUUGUUAAGUUAUCUACUCCCCUCGCGAGGCUCACGCAUAAAGGAGUCAAGUUCAUUUGGAAUGAUGCAUGUGAGAGAAGCUUCCAAGAGUUGAAACAACGAUUGACUACCGCCCCGAUCCUGACCCUACCAGUAACUGGAGCAGGGUAUGUGGUAUAUAGUGAUGCUUCACUUAAUGGUUUGGGCUGUGUGUUGAUGCAGAAUGGUAAGGUGAUCGCGUAUGCUUCUCGCCAACUGAAGGAAUAUGAAAGGAACUACCCAACGCAUGAUUUGGAGCUGGCCGCCGUAGUGUUCGCAUUGAAGCUAUGGCGCCACUAUCUUUAUGGCGAGCGGUGUGAAGUAUACACGGAUCACAAGAGCUUAAAGUACCUGUUUACUCAGAAGGAGUUGAACUUGAGGCAGCGCAGAUGGUUGGAGCUACUCAAGAAUUAUGAUCUGACGAUCCUUUACCACCCGGGCAAGGCUAACGUGGUAGCGGAUGCGCUAAGUAGGAAAUCGAUGAAAAACUUAGCGAUGCAUGUUGUGACUCAACCGCAGUUGAUCGAGCAGAUGAAGCGGUUGGAGUUGGAGAUAGUGACUCCUGACACACCCUUGAGGUUGAUGACCUUGGUAGUGCAACCUACUCUUUUGGAUAAAAUCAAAGAGAAGCAAGUUUCCGAUUUGGAAUUGCGAAAGAUUCGAGGUAAAAUGGUUGAUGGUUGCACCGGCGAGUUCCUAGUGGACGACCGAGGGUUGAUGCAUUUUCGCGGACGGACUUGUGUAUCGGCGGAUUCAGGAAUUAAAGAGGAUAUUCUUCAAGAAGCGCACCGAACGCCGUAUGCUAUACAUCCGGGAGGCACCAAGAUGUACAAGGAUUUAAAGUUGCUAUAUUGGUGGCUCGGGAUGAAAAAGGACGUUGGUGAGUUUGUUGCUAGAUGUUUAACUUGCCAACAAGUAAAGGCUGAGCACCGAGUUUUCGCGGGAAAACUUCAGAGUUUACCUAUUCCCGUAUGGAAAUGGGAGAAGAUCACCAUGGACUUUGUGACAGGAUUGCCACGCUCACAGGCUGGGUAUGAUGCUAUUUGGGUGAUUGUGGAUAGGUUGACGAAAUCGGCGCACUUCAUACCUAUUCAUACGACUUGGACCGGAGAGAAGCUCGCACAAGUGUACCUUGAUGAGAUCGUGCGGCUUCAUGGAGUGCCUACAUCGAUUGUUUCAGAUCGAGACAACCGCUUUGUGUCUCACUUUUAGAGGAGUCUGCAAGACGCCUUAGGCACCCGAUUAGAUUUCAGUACAGCAUUCCACCCGCAGAGUGAUGGACAGUCGGAACGCACUAUACAGACCUUAGAGGAUAUGCUCCGGGCAUGUGUGAUAGAUUUCCAGGGAGGAUGGUCACAGCAUCUACCUAUGGCGGAGUUUGCUUAUAACAACAGUUAUCAAGCAAGCAUCAAGAUGGCACCUGUAAGAAAGUAAAUUCUCGAGAUCCGAGGAUUGUACUUCAUCCAGGAUCGACUAAUUGUCGAGAGAAUAUCCUUUGUGAGAGUUGAAAAUGUCCAAAACACAAAAAGUGCUUUGGAGUUGAGUCCGCGAGAGCAAAUGAGGCAAACUGCAUCAUUGGGCUGAUGUUGCUCUCGGGGACCAGUCUCUGGAGGUGAGAGACCGGUUCCCUUGGCUGGGUGUUGCGGGGUUGCAUGAUGCAACCGGUACCUGGUAGGGAGGGACCGGUUGCCGAACGUUGCCCCUGCGAGAAAUACCAAAAAUUGGCUAAGUCCUGAAAAUUUAGCUCUCGGGGACCGGUCUCUCAGGUGAGGACCGGUCUCCCGAGGACCGGUCUCCCGGGGAGAGACCGGUUCCCGAACGCAUACGCCCAAGGGAAGCUCUCGGGGGACCGGUCCCAAGUUGGGGAGACCGGUCCCUCCGCGCGAAAACUGCCCAGUAAGGGCAGUGCACAGGAGCGAAAGUUGAGGGGCUUUCAUGCAAAAUAGCUUUUAUUUGAGUGGGUUGAGCCCUCUCUCUCCCUCACACUCUCAUUUUCUCCCUCUCAUUCUCUCUCAUUGCUCUCUCUCUCUCUAGAAAGGAAAGGAGAAGGAGAAGAACAAGAAGGAGAGGAAGGAAAAAAAGGAGAAGGAAAGGAAGGAGAAGAAAAAGGAGAUCAAGGAGAAGGCUUUGGGCAACUUCAUCUCCCUCUCCUCUUCUCUUUGGUGUAGCACAAGAGGUAGGCUCUUGAACCCUAGCUUCUAAACCUUGGAGUUUUGGGUUUUGAUGCCUAGGAAUGGGUCAAAUGGACCCUAAGCAAGCUUCUAAAUAGAUCAAUCCUAAGAAAUUUAGGGAUUUAUUGGAUGGUUUGCUAUAGGGGCAAACCUAGGGCUCCAAAAUGGGGUUUUUUUUUGUGAAAGUAUGAGAUUGAUCUCAUUUGAAGCCUUGGAAACCCUGUUGUUAGGUCACAAAACGCGGGGGCGAAGUCGAUUUCACGAUUCGGCUAGUGGAUUGGGAGCUAUCGGCGAAAUACGGCCGAUUUAGCCUUGUUUUGGACCAAGAAGGCCGAGACCUCGUCGUAAGGUCCGCCGAGGAGCGUUUCUAAAGCCUCUACAUCGAUAAAAGGUGGGGGGUGCCAUCCCGAAGCUUUCGAACUCCUUUCUAUGUCUUAGAUUGCAUUUAAUCUCAUCUCUUCAGGUUGCAUUGUAGGAUUGCAUAGUAGCUCCAUUCCUUAUGCUUUCUAAAUAAUAACCUAGUCUACUUGGAACGCUUGGUAACUUAGAUAGGUGAGGAUUGGGUCGGAACGUAGAUCCUAUGAUGCGAAAGAAAAGAGAUGUACCCGAUGGGGGUGUUGAUGACAUAGAAAGUGGUGUCAAUGUCAAAGGACAAACGAGUGGCAUCCAAAUGUUAAAUGAUGACGAGUGGCAUUAAUGUAGUGUAAAUAACACUAGAGGUCGAUGGACCUAGGGAUAGGCGGAUCUUAGAAAAUUGCUUGUACAAUGAAUUAUAGGACAAGCUAUUGUGCAAUUACAUGAUAUCGGAACAAGUGAUUCCCGGCGAGAGGAUGUUGAUCAUAGUUAGAGCCUAUUCCUCACUUAGAUGCGGAUGUGAUUGCGGUUGUGGACCCAGGUAUGUGCUUCCUCCUUGGAGAGGCUUUGGAUUUGGUACUUGAUCCUAGAUGUAGGGCAAUCUCAUAAUUGAUGAGGAUAGAUCUAGCUCACAGUCUGGCGUUUGGGGAUGGUUAUAGCCAUCCAAUCCACAAUGGAGGCGGUUAAUUAUCUUCGCAGGUACUCCGGUAGUAGUGUCGUGCGACUAGGCGACUUUGGAGUCUGGACCACCAUGGAGGUCGCAGACGGUCCGGGCUUGGCUGCACUUGGGAGUCCUCUUCCCACUUGGAUGAAAGUGUGAAGUCAUGCGUGAACCUUACAAGGCUCGCCACAGAUUCGGUAAAUGGAAAGGUUAAGGUUUAUUAUAUCAUAUAAAACAUUGCUAUUCGACAUAGAUCGAAUUGUUAGCUAUGAUAGCCAAACUUCGAUUGUUUGUCAGCCCAGGGAACUGCCAAUUUGAAGCCGACCGAAGACGUCAACAGACGACGAACGGACAGAGAGUUUUCUUCCAUAUACGACCAGGUUCAUCACAUGUACAUUUUCAACAAUAGAGAAAAGCAUAGCGGAAAUACACAACAGGCUUAAAGAAGGUAUAGCAAUAGCCAUUAGUGAAUAGAAAAGGAAAGCUAAACAUUCCAAGUAACUAUGAUUUCAUUUUAGAUCAUUAACAUUGCACAUUCAUUGUUAAUUUUAUCGAAUUAAAUUCAUUACAUUCAUUUCAUCAUUUCUUUUUACAUCACAUUUUACCUCAAAAUAGUUUAAUUCUUCUUUACAUCAUAAUCAUCAAAUACAAAAGAUGGAUAUAUAAGGUACUUUACUACAAAAUGAACACAUUGGUGACUCUGACUAAGGGCAGAUAACUUACUCGGAUCGACUCGCCGGCUCGCUCAGGUCCCGGCUCUGUGUGGAAUAGUGAAGGCUAGGAAACUACAACAAAGUUCCAGUGGGUUCUGGACCCAAACAUCACGACUUUACCCCGUAGGACUAACUCAGGCAUAAUAGAAAGGAUAAGUAGGAAUUAUAGUUAACCAUAUCUAUAAAUGAUGUUAAUAUAUGCCCUGAACAAUAGCAGAAAUAUGCUCAGCUUAAAAUAAUGCCAGAGUUAUGCAAAUUCUUUUCGUUCUUUAUCUUUACGAUUUGUUCUUUGUUUAUUAUAUACUUUGUCUUAUGUUCUUUGUUCUUUGUUCUUGUUCUUUAAUUCAAGGCUAAUCAGGGUCGGGUGAUCGCCACAUUGACUUGCUUCACAUUAAGUCCAUCAUCGCAGGAACUCACCCGCUAGGACCGUCCUUACGGGUCUACUCCAACCCGGAUGCAUAACUCCGGAGCGCAUCGCCCGAGGGGGAGCGACCGCCCUCGAGCACGGAACUCAUAGCAAGCAUGAUCGAAAUCCUUAACUCAAAGGAUUGUAUGUUCAAUCUUGACUUUACACUAACUCUAGUGUUCAUUACAUCACUUUAUGUUGCCACUCUAGCAAUCAUUGCUCUUUGCAUUUCCCUUACUUUUGCUAACUCUAGCAAUCACAUUCUUUAUGUCACGCCCCGGGCCUGAUGCCAAUUGGGCCCGACCCGAGCACGUCAAACAGACGCCGAACGGACAGAGUUUCCCUAUCCGCCCAAGGCUCAUCACAUGUACAUUUUCAAUAAGAAGUGCGCUAGCGGAAACAUACACAAACGGCUUACACGAGGGUAAGCAAUAGCCAUUAGUGCAAGAAAAAGGAAACUAAACAUUCACAAGUAAUAUGAUUCAUUUUAGAUCAUAUACAUUGCAUUCAUCUAGUAAUUUAUCGAAUUCUUACAUUCAUUACAUCAUUUCAUUAUUUCUUUCUUACAUCACAUUUACCCCAAUAUAAGCUUUACAUUCAUUCUUUACAUCACUUUGGUUCUUCGGCUCACACUAACUCUAGUGUCACUUUACUUUACGUUUCCAAAUGCCACUCGAUCUAUGUCAUUGUGCCACUCUCUUCUUUUGCUUACUCUGGGUGCUCACAUUUUCUCUCAUGCAUACAUCUAGGGUUUUGACAUUAUUAGGUUCUCAACCAUCUCAUUAUGCAAGUUGUGCUCACAAUCAUNUUUUCUUCAAAACUUCUGCGAUCAACUCUUCAAGACUCCAACGAACUUUACGAAAUUCGCCAACCUAUAAAAUCCUUAACACACAACUUCCUGGAGCUGCUCGAAUCGAGCCUCCUGGCGCUGCAUCGCGCCGAACAUUGCAGCGACCUGCUCCCGUAGUUCCUGCAUUUUCUCCGAUCUUGGCUGCUCGGGCUCCGCAGAAGGCGGUACCGGAGCAGACCUACGCACAUACCGUCUCGGGGACAUUUGCUCCUGAAAAGCAACAACUCGAUUAGUUAUCUUAAUCUGNCAAGGAUCUAUCCAUUACUCACCUAGCCGUCUCGAUCACUACACAUCCGAGACCGUCUGCGGGACCCCAAAUAGGCCAUCCCUCGGGAUCCCAAGUAGGCUAUCCCUAUCCCACGGGACCCCAAAUAGGCCAUCCCUCGUGACUGACUCCGGAGCGCACUACUUGUGUGGAGCGACCACCACAAGUUGUGUCACGCCCCGGGCCCGAUGCCAAUUGGGCCCGACCCGAGCACGUCAAACAGACGCCGAACGGACAGAGUUUCCCUUAUCCGCCCAAGGCUCAUCACAUGUACAUUUUCAAUAAGAAGUGCACUAGCGGAAACAUACACAAACGGCUUACACGAGGGUAAGCAAUAGCCAUUANCUCCUAGGUCAUCCUAGACUCUCUCUUUACUUGCUCUUGGCUUUGAUACCACGUUAUCUGUCACGCCCCGAGACUGCUACCAAUUUGGUUCGGUCCGGGCCCGUCGAACAGACGCCGAACGGACAGGACCUCCCCUGUCCGCCCAAGGCUAACCAAAAGAUCAUAUAUAAGAAUUUACCCAAGAAUCAAUUCAUAGAUACACGAUCACGAGGAGCACCACCAGUGCUAACAAGACGAGAGCAAGAUACAAGUAUGGAAACAUAUACAAAUACAUAAAGAGAGAAGAUGCUAUCUAUUACAUUCAUUUGACUUAAUACAUUUAAUUACAUCUUUUACAUUCUUCCAAAAUAUAAAUACAAUCACUCAAACCUCACCCUAUACAACAUCUACUCUCAAACAUAAUACAGGGUAAAGCUAAUGCAAAAGGUAGGUAGCUAAUGCAACUAGAGCGCUAGGCCCUUACCGCGAUCCUCGAGCUCACCCGGGACACCCGAACUCGAACCUGUAAAAAGUGGGGUGAGAACUAUCUUCCAUAGUUCCCAGUGGGUUCGGCCGCCGACUCCGCCGGUCUCCUCACUAGGUCCAAGUGGGCGCAAGUANNNNNNNNNNNNNNNNNNNNNNNNNNNNNNNNNNNNNNNNNNNNNNNNNNNNNNNNNNNNNNNNNNNNNNNNNNNNNNNNNNNNNNNNNNNNNNNNNNNNNNNNNNNNNNNNNNNNNNNNNNNNNNNNNNNNNNNNNNNNNNNNNNNNNNNNNNNNNNNNNNNNNNNNNNNNNNNNNNNNNNNNNNNNNNNNNNNNNNNNNNNNNNNNNNNNNNNNNNNNNNNNNNNNNNNNNNNNNNNNNNNNNNNNNNNNNNNNNNNNNNNNNNNNNNNNNNNNNNNNNNNNNNNNNNNNNNNNNNNNNNNNNNNNNNNNNNNNNNNNNNNNNNNNNNNNNNNNNNNNNNNNNNNNNNNNNNNNNNNNNNNNNNNNNNNNNNNNNNNNNNNNNNNNNNNNNNNNNNNNNNNNNNNNNNNNNNNNNNNNNNNNNNNNNNNNNNNNNNNNNNNNNNNNNNNNNNNNNNNNNNNNNNNNNNNNNNNNNNNNNNNNNNNNNNNNNNNNNNNNNNNNNNNNNNNNNNNNNNNNNNNNNNNNNNNNNNNNNNNNNNNNNNNNNNNNNNNNNNNNNNNNNNNNNNNNNNNNNNNNNNNNNNNNNNNNNNNNNNNNNNNNNNNNNNNNNNNNNNNNNNNNNNNNNNNNNNNNNNNNNNNNNNNNNNNNNNNNNNNNNNNNNNNNNNNNNNNNNNNNNNNNNNNNNNNNNNNNNNNNNNNNNNNNNNNNNNNNNNNNNNNNNNNNNNNNNNNNNNNNNNNNNNNNNNNNNNNNNNNNNNNNNNNNNNNNNNNNNNNNNNNNNNNNNNNNNNNNNNNNNNNNNNNNNNNNNNNNNNNNNNNNNNNNNNNNNNNNNNNNNNNNNNNNNNNNNNNNNNNNNNNNNNNNNNNNNNNNNNNNNNNNNNNNNNNNNNNNNNNNNNNNNNNNNNNNNNNNNNNNNNNNNNNNNNNNNNNNNNNNNNNNNNNNNNNNNNNNNNNNNNNNNNNNNNNNNNNNNNNNNNNNNNNNNNNNNNNNNNNNNNNNNNNNNNNNNNNNNNNNNNNNNNNNNNNNNNNNNNNNNNNNNNNNNNNNNNNNNNNNNNNNNNNNNNNNNNNNNNNNNNNNNNNNNNNNNNNNNNNNNNNNNNNNNNNNNNNNNNNNNNNNNNNNNNNNNNNNNNNNNNNNNNNNNNNNNNNNNNNNNNNNNNNNNNNNNNNNNNNNNNNNNNNNNNNNNNNNNNNNNNNNNNNNNNNNNNNNNNNNNNNNNNNNNNNNNNNNNNNNNNNNNNNNNNNNNNNNNNNNNNNNNNNNNNNNNNNNNNNNNNNNNNNNNNNNNNNNNNNNNNNNNNNNNNNNNNNNNNNNNNNNNNNNNNNNNNNNNNNNNNNNNNNNNNNNNNNNNNNNNNNNNNNNNNNNNNNNNNNNNNNNNNNNNNNNNNNNNNNNNNNNNNNNNNNNNNNNNNNNNNNNNNNNNNNNNNNNNNNNNNNNNNNNNNNNNNNNNNNNNNNNNNNNNNNNNNNNNNNNNNNNNNNNNNNNNNNNNNNNNNNNNNNNNNNNNNNNNNNNNNNNNNNNNNNNNNNNNNNNNNNNNNNNNNNNNNNNNNNNNNNNNNNNNNNNNNNNNNNNNNNNNNNNNNNNNNNNNNNNNNNNNNNNNNNNNNNNNNNNNNNNNNNNNNNNNNNNNNNNNNNNNNNNNNNNNNNNNNNNNNNNNNNNNNNNNNNNNNNNNNNNNNNNNNNNNNNNNNNNNNNNNNNNNNNNNNNNNNNNNNNNNNNNNNNNNNNNNNNNNNNNNNNNNNNNNNNNNNNNNNNNNNNNNNNNNNNNNNNNNNNNNNNNNNNNNNNNNNNNNNNNNNNNNNNNNNNNNNNNNNNNNNNNNNNNNNNNNNNNNNNNNNNNNNNNNNNNNNNNNNNNNNNNNNNNNNNNNNNNNNNNNNNNNNNNNNNNNNNNNNNNNNNNNNNNNNNNNNNNNNNNNNNNNNNNNNNNNNNNNNNNNNNNNNNNNNNNNNNNNNNNNNNNNNNNNNNNNNNNNNNNNNNNNNNNNNNNNGGUUCCCGAACGUCGUCCCAGCGCAGCCAGAGCUGCUGCGCGCAGUGCAACCGGUCUCUCUUUGUGGGACCGGUCUCUCGGGGACCGGUCUCUCAGGCAGGGACCGGUUCCCGAGAGCUACUUUCUCAGGACUUAGCCGAUUUUUCGGCUGUCUCAUUUCAUACGCGUUCGGGGACCGGUCUCUCCCUUCAGGGACCGGUCCCCGAGAGCUGAAAACCUACAGUUCUGCAGAAUUUGAUUCUUUAGCUCUCGAAAACCUCCCGUAACUCACUUUUGAUCAUUUUAACACCUUCGGACUUUCCGAAGUGUUCCGUCCUCGCACUUUGGUCAAUUUGACUAAAGUUCGAUAUUUAUUUUUCGAAUUUUCGGUAUAUUACAAGUUGGGAGCAGACAAUGAGUAUGAUCCCAAUUCUCCCACCUCAAGGGUACCCUACCCUCUAGGGUUGCUGUCACCAUGGUCAAUAGGUUCUAUGUGCGCUACGACUCACAAUGCCACUCGUUCUUUGUUAAUUAAUUACUAGGUGCCACUCAUUCUUUUAUUUCAACUAUUUUCAUCACUACACUAUAGGAUUACAAAACUCGACCCAAUUCUCAUCAAUCCCCUAUAUCCAGUUACUAAAGCAUAAUACGAUAUCAGAUGGGAAAUCAUAAGGAAAGGCGAUGCACAAUCAUCCUACAAUGCAUAUGAACUAAGGAUACAAAGUCUUAAAAUACUAAGACAUAAGAGGGAGCCCGAUUGCUUCGGGAUGGACACCACCCACCUCUUGGCGAUGCUGCGACGGUAGAAAACUCGACGCUGCGGUCAUUGCACGUCGCUUCCACUCCUCGGGGCGAAGCGAGCCCUCGAGUAUCCGAUUCGGCGAUAACUCCGCACUCGCUCGUCGGAUCGACAAACCGUCUUCGCCGACGCGUCUAAGGACCUAGCAAUUAGGUUUGGGACCCAUUAAAAUAGAUCAAAACCCUAGAUUUGCCAAAAUCCCAAAUCUGUGCCCUAGAAUGGCAACGAGGGAGAAAUCCGUGGUGCGAGCUUCGAUUUCGAGCUCGAACCAUCUCCCUUGCUUCAAUAGGUUCCAUUCGAACCAUUUCCAAGCCAUAAAAUCCUCAAACCCUAAAAACACCAUUAGAGGAUUUAGAGCUUACCUCUAUUUAAAGCUCCAAGCUUGCUCUAGCUUGAAGAAGAGAGGGAAGAAGACCUUCUUCUUUGUCACGCCCCAAGAACGAUACCAAUUUGGGUAGGCCCAAGCUCGUCAAACAGACGCUAAACGCACAGAGUUUCCCCUGUCCGCCCAAGGCUCAUCACAUGUACAUUUCAACAAAGAAAGCACAAGCGAAAACAUACAAAAACGGCUUACACGAGGGUAAGCAAUAGUCAUUAGUGAAAGAUAGGAAACUAACCUUUACACAAGUUCUAUGAUUCAUUUUGAUCAUAUACAUUGCAUUCAACUCGUACAUUUUUGAUUCUUUACCUUUCAUUACACCUUUGCAUCAUUUCUUUCUUACAUCACAUUUACCUCAAAAUAAGCUUUACACUCUUUCCUUUGCUUUAUACAUUAACAUCAUGAAUCAUCAAAUACAAAAGAUGAUAAAAGGGUAGCUACUAACAAAAUGUAACCCAACUUUGGUGGCCUCUGUCUAAGGCGCGAUCCCUUUACCUUGGUCGCUCGCCGGCUCGCUCGGUCCCGGCUCUGUGGAAUAGUGGGGUGAAAACUAUAACAAAGUUCCCAGUGGGUUCGGCUCCAACAUCACCGACUUUCCCACUAGGACUAACUCAGGCAUAAUAGAAAGGAUAAGCUGAAUGUAGUAACCAAUCUAUAAUACAAUGCUAAUAUGCCUGAACAAUAAGCAGGAAAAAAUGCUCAACAUUAUCAUAUGCAGAUUAUGCAAGUUCUUUAGUUCUUUGCACUUUACACUUUAUCUUUGUUCUUUGUUCUUUGCUCUUUGUUCUUUUAAUCUCAAGGCUAACCCGAGGGUUUCGCCCCAUUAACUUGCUUCACAUUAAGUCCAUCAUCGCAGGAACUCACCCGCUAGGACCGUCCUUCGGGUUUACUCCAACCCGUGAUACAUAACUCCGGAGCGCAUCGCCCGAGGGGGAGCGACCACCCUCGAGCACGGAACUCAUAGCAAGUAUGAUCGAAUCCUUAACUUCUAAGGAUUUUAAGUUCAAUCUUGACUUUACACUAACUCUAGUGUUCUUUACAUCACUUUUUGUUGCUACUCUAGCAAUCUUUGUUCUUUACCAUUCAUUACUCUUGCUAACUCUAGCAAUCUUUAUUCUUUACGCCCCACUUUGUUUUCACUUUAGUCAUUAGCAUUAUUCAUUACAUCACAUUGAUUCUUUGCCUCACACUAUCUCUAGUGUCACUUUACUUUACAUUUUCAAAUGCCACUCGAUCUAUGUCAUUGUGCCACUCGGUUCUUUUGGCUCACUUUGGUACUCACAUUUUCUCUCAUGCAUACAUAUAGGGUUUUAACAUUCAUAAGGUUCUCAACCAUCACAUUUAGCAAGUUGUACUCACAAUCAUGCAACAUCACAUUUUCAUCAUCACUUUACCCUAAAAUGCAUGCAACAAUGUAUAUACAUAUGCUCAAUUGAAUGACACAUUAGGCAUAGAGAGAAGUUCAACGAGUUUGGAAAGCACCACCCACCUCGUAGGUCUAUUUAGGUUCUCCGAUGAUUUUCUUGAGAUUUAUAGGCUCCUCGUUCUUCACCUGCGGCAAACGAAGCCAACUUAGGCCAUUUUGCCCAUAUCUUUCUAUAGACUUUUCGUAACGUUAAUCCGAGCGCACCAACCCGUCGGAAAUACCCCCAAUUAGAUUUUUAGAGGGUCAAUUGCACUUAAAAAUCCCCAUGAGCAAAAGCCCCAAUUUGGGUGCCCUAGCUCCAAAGCAUCAUCAAACCUAGGGCUUGAUCUCAUUGGGAAGCAAAAGUAGCUUCAUUAUACUCUAAAAAGUCCAUUAGAACCAUUCUUAGCUCACUCCAAACUCUAGUUUGGAUUUCACCAUGAGAAGUGGGUUGAAGCUCACCUUUGAGCUUUUCAAGGUUUUAAUCUCUAAAGAAGCAAAAAAAAGCUUCAAAACUCCUCAAACAUUCCAUUAAAACCCAUUUCUAGGUCAUUCGAAACUCAUUCUAGGGUUUUACUAUACUAGAGAUCAAAGCUGUCACGCCCCGGGACCGAUGCCAAUUUGGCCCGACCCGAGCACGUCAAACAGACGCCGAACGGACAGAGUUUCCCCUACCCGCCCAAGGCUCAUCACAUGUACAUUUUCAUCAAUAGAGAAAAGCACUAGCGGAAACAUACACAAACGGCUUACACGAGGGUAAGCAAUAGCCAUUAGUAAAAGAAAAAGGAAACUAAACAUUCACAAGUAAUAUGAUUCAUUUUAGAUCAUAUACAUUGCAUUCAUCUAGUAAUUUAUCGAAUUCUUACAUUCAUUACAUCAUUUCAUCAUUUCUUUCUUACAUCACAUUUACCCCAAUAUAAGCUUUACAUUCUUUCUUUACAUCACUAUUCAUCAAAUACAAAAGAUGAUCACAAGGUACUUUACUACAAAAUGAAACCCAACAUUGGUGGCCUCUGACUAAGGCGCGAUACCUUUACCUCGGUCGCUCGCCGGCUCGCUCGGUCCCGGCUCUGUGGAAAUAGUGGGGUGAGAACUACAACAAAGUUCCCAGUGGGUUCGGCCCCAACAUCACCGACUUUCCCACUAGGACUAACUCAGGCAUAAUAGAAAGGAUAAGUAGGAUGUAGUAACCAAUCUAUAACAUGAUGCUAAUAUGCCUGAACAAAUAGCAAGAAAUAUGCUCAACAUUAAUUAUAUGCAGAUUAUGCAAAUUCUUUCGUUCUUUAUCUUUACAUUUGUUCUUUGUUCUUUGUUCUUUGAUCUUUAAUCUCAAGGCUAACCCGGGGGUUUCGCCACAUUGACUUGCUUCACAUUAAGUCCAUCAUCGCAGGAACUCACCCGAUAGGACCGUCCUUACGGGUCUACUCCAACCCGGAUGCAUAACUUCGGAGCGCAUUGCCCGAGGGGGAGCGACUGCCCUCGAGCACGAAACUCAUAGCAAGUAUGAUCAUAUCCUUAACUCAAAGGAUUUAUAAGUUCAAUCUUGACUUUACACUAGCUCUAGUGUUCUUUACAUCACUUUAUGUUGCAAACUCAUGCAAUCACAUUCUUUACUUUUCUUUUACUUUUGCUAACUCUAGCAAUUAUAUUCUUUACAUUCUUUACUUUUGGCUACCUCUAGCACUUCGUGUUCUUUAUUCCCCACAUUACUUUAACUUUAAACAUUGUCAUUUUCAUCAUUCUUUACAUCACUCUAGUUUUUUACAUCACACUAACUCUAGUGUCUCUUUACUAUACAUUUUGAAAUGCCACUCGAUCUAUGUCAUGGUGUCACUCUGUUCUUUUGCUCACUUUGGAUGCUUACUUUUUCUCAUGCAUACACAUAAGGUUUUCGACAUUAUUAGGUUCUCAACCAUCUCAUUAUGCAAGUUGUGCUCACAAUCAUGCAAUCAUCACAUUUCAUCAUUACUUUACCCUAAAAUGCAUCAACAUAUCAUAGUCAUAGAACAUAUGCUCAAAGGAUGACACAUUAGGCAAGAGAGAAUUUCAAUGAAGUUUGCGAAGCACCACCCACCUUGUAGGUCUCUUUAGUGCUCCGAUGAUUUUCUUGGGAUUUUUUGUCCUUCGUUCUUUACCUGCGGCAAAUGAAGCCAACUUAGGCCAUUUUUGCCCAAUCAUUCAUUGGCUUUUCGUAACGUUAAUCCGAGCGCACCAACGGUCGGAAAUACCCACCCAAUUAGGUUUUUUAGAGGGUCAAUUGCACUUAGAAACCCUCAUGAGCAAAAAGCCCAAUUUGGUGCCUGUUCUCCAAUGUGUAUCAAAACCUAGGUUUGAUAUCUAUGGAAGCAAAAGUAGUUCACUAUACUCUAUAGUCAACUAGAACCAUUCUUAGGCUUUCCAAACCCUAGAUUAGAUUUCCACCAUUAGAGGUGGUCCAACGCUCACCUCUAUAGAAUCUAGGUUUGAUCUCUUUAGAAGCAAAAGAAAGCUUCAAAACUCUUCAAAUAUUUCACUAAAACUCAUUUCUAGAUCAUUCAAACCCAUUCUAGGGUUUUACUACAUUAGAGUUCAAAGCUUACCUUGUAAGGCUUCCUUUUCUUCAAGCUAGAGAUGAAGGAGAGGGAGUUUUUCUUCUUCUUCCUCUUCUCCACUUUCUUCCUCUUUCUUCCUUCUUUUCUUCCUUUCUUCUUCUUCUCUUUUGCUUUCUAGGAAGAGAGGGAGAGAAGAGAGUGUGAGAGGGUGAGGAAAUGAGAGAAAUAUCUCAUUUGGCCUCAUACAUAGAUAUUGGGUUGCCAAAAUGCAAAUAAACCCUUCAACUUUUACUCUGUGCACUGCCUGGCUGGGCUGAUCGCGCGGCAGAGACCGCGUCUCCCGAGCAGGACCGGUCUCGAACGUCCACCUGCGCAGCCAGAGCCGCUGCGCGCGAUGCGACCGGUCUCUCUCUGAUGGACCGGUCUCUGGGGGACCGGUCUCUCAGGCAGAGACCGGUUCCGAGAGCUAAUCUUCCAGACUUUAGCCGAUUUUUCGGCUGUCUCAUUUCAUACGCGCUCGGGGACCGGUCUCUCCCACCAGGGACCGGUCCCCGAGAGCUGAAAAUCUGGCAGUUUUUGUAGAAUUUGAUUCUUUAGCUCUCGAAAACCUUCCACAACUCAUUUGUUGAUCAUUUUAACACCUUCAGACUUUCCGAAGUGUACCAUCCUCGCACUUUGGUCAAUUUGACUAAAGUUCGACAUUUCUAUUUUUCGAAUUUUCGGUAUAUUACAAAAGCUUACCUCAAGCUUUCCCUAAGUUGAUCCAAGGAGGAAGAAGAAGAGGUAGGCUCACUACUUGAUCUUCUUCUUCACCUUCUUUUCCUUCUUUUCUUUCUUUUCUUUCUUUCCUCUUCUUCUUCUUUGUCUUCUAGGAGAGAGAGAGAGAGAGAGAAGAGAGUGUGAGAGGGUGGGGAAAUGAGAGGUGAAGGCUCUCAUCCCACAUAACAUAGCCCAUAUGUUGCAAAAAUGCAAAUAAGUCCCUAAGCUUUUAUUCCAUUACACUGCCCAGAUUGGGCAGAUUUCGCAGGCGGGGACCGGUCUCCCCGAGCAGGGACCGGUUCCCGAAGGUCCACCCUGCGCAGCCAGAGCUGCUGCGCGCGAUGCGACCGGUCUCUUCUUGAGGGGACCGGUCUCUCGGGGACCGGUCUCUCAGGCAGGGACCGGUUCCUGAGAGCUGGUUUCUCAGGACUUAGCCAUUUUUCCUCGUUUCUCAUUUUUCAUGCGUUCGGGGACCGGUCUCUCCUUCAGGGACCGGUCCCCGAGAGCUCAAAACUGCAGAGUGCAGAUUUUGAUUCCAUAGCUCUCGAAAACCUCCCGUAACUCACUUUUAAUUAUUUAAACACCUUCGGACUUUCCGAAGUGUACCAUCCUCGCACUUUGCUCAAUUUGACUAAAGUUCGAUAUUUAUUCACCGAUGUUUUUGGUAUAUUACAUUCUUCUUCUUCUUGGACUUCUCCUUCCACUUCUUCUUCUUUUCCUUCCUCUCCUUCUUUUCCUUCUUCUUCUCCUUCUUUUCUUUCCUAGAGAGAGAGAGAAAGAGUAUGAAAGGAAGAGAGAGCAAAUGAGAGGAAGAGAGGUCCCCCAGCCUCUAUUAAAGGUCAUUUUGCAAUUAGGCCCCUCAACUUUUCUUCUUCUGAACCAGCCCUCACUGGGCAUUUUCGCAGUGAGGGACCGGUCCCAGCUCGGGGAGGCCGGUCCCCGAAAGCUACAAUUCCGAGCAGAGGGGUUUUCGCGUUCGGGAACCGGUCUUUACCUGAGAGACCGGUCCUCGGGAGACCGGUCCUUGUCCGAGAGACCAGUUCCCGAGAGUUGUGUUUUCGGGACUUAGCCAAAUUCCGGCCAAUCGUGCUGGGCCAACGUUCGGGAACCGGUCCCUGCCUGCCAGGGACAGGUCUCAUCAGAGACCCGCGCAGCCCAGCCUGAUGGGACCGGUCCUUCCAUGCCAGGGACCGGUCCCCGAGAGCAUUUCUGCUCCAGUGCAGGUUUUGCACUGGUGCUCUCGCGGACCUUUCCUUAAUGCACUUUAUGCAUUAUAGCCACCUUCGGACUUUCCGAAGCUUACACACUCAACGAAUAGUCGAUUCCAAAUCGAAGUCUAAUCCUCCGAUUUCGAGGAUUCACUUCCUUACAGGAAGAGUCCGCGAGAGCACCAGUGUGAAAUCUGCACUGGAGCAUAAUUGCUCUUGGGGACCAGUCCCUGGGAGGGAGGGACCGGUCCCAUCAGGCUGGGCUGCGGGAAUCCUUAGGGCGAUCCGUCCCUGGUAAGGGAAGACCGGUCCCCGAACGUUAGCCCAGCGAGAACAGCCGAAAUUUGGCUAAGUCCCGAAAAUCCAACUCUCAAGAACCGGUCUCUCGGACAAGGACCAGUCUCUCGGGGAUCGGUCUCUUAGGCAGGGACCGGUUCCCGAACGCGAAAUCCCUUCUGCCCGAGAUGGAAGACUCUCGGGGACCGGUCUCCCCGAGCUGGGACCGGUCCCUUACUGCGAAAAUGCCCAGUGAGGGCUGAUUAAGAAGAUAAAAAGUUGAGGGGGCUAUCUACAAUGGCCUUUAAUAGAGGCUGGGGCACCACUCUUUCUCUCAUUUGCUCUCUCUCCCUCUCACACUCUUUCUCUCUCUCUCUAGAACGAAAGGAAAAGAAAAGGAGAAGGAGAAGAAGAGAAAGAAGGAAAAUAAGAAGAAGAGGGAGGAGAAGACAAAGAAGAAGAAGAAGAUCAUCUUCUUCCCUCUCUCCUUCAAGCUAGAGCAAGCUUGAAGCUUUGUGUAGAGGUAAGCCUCAAACCCAUCCAUGGUAGAUUUAUUGAGAUUGGGUUUUAUUGCUUAGAAAUGGUUCGAAUGGAACCUAGAGGAGAUAAAUAGAUGGUUCGGGCUCGCAAUUGAAGCUCGCACCACGGGUUUCCUCACCGUUGCUAACCUAGGGCACGGAAUCGGGAUUUUUGGGAAAUCUAGGGUUUUGAUCUAUUUCGAUGGGUUGUAAACCUAAUUGCUAGGUCGCGAAACGCGUCGGCGAUGACGGUUCGUCGAUACGACGAGCGGGUGCGAAGAUAUCGCCGAAUCAAGCGCUUAAGGGUUCGGAUCGACUCGAGAAGGCGAAGCGUCGACCAAGGACUACGAAAUCGAGUUUUCUACUAGUGCGGCAUCACCAAGAGGUGGGUGGUGACCAUCCCGAAGCAAUCGGCUCCUUUUUAUGUCUUAGUAUUUCGAGACCUUGCAUCCUGUGUUUACAUGCAUUAUAGGAUAAUUGUGCAUUGCCUUUCCUUAUGCUUUCCUAGCUGAUAUCAUAUUAUGCAUUAGUUGCUGGAUAUAGGGGAUUGAUGAGGAUUGGGUCGAGACUUGUAAUCCUAUAGUGCAGCGGUGAGAGAACGAUGCCAUAGUUAAAAUAAAGGAACGAGUGGCAUCUAGUUGUUAAUUAAAAUAAAAGAAUGAGUGGCAUAUGUGAGUUGUAGUAUAUAUGAAACCCAUUGCCUAUGGUGAUAGUAACCUUAGAGGAUAGGAUACCCCUUGAGGUGGGAGAAUUGGAUCCUACUCAUUGUCUGUUCCCGACUUGUGGUGGUCGCUCCACACAAGUUGUGCGCUCCGGAGUCAGUCACGAGGGAUGGCCUAUUUUGGGUCCCGUGGGAUAGGGAUGGCCUAUUUGGGGUCCCGAGGGAUGGCCUAUGUAGGGUCUUGCAGACGGUCUCGGAUUCGUAGUAUCGAGAUGGCUAUGUGAGUAGUAGGCGGAUCCUUGAAUGAGCCACGAGAUUAAUGAACAAGUAAACAACCUUACUUCUUGGACAUAUGAAGAGCUAGUUGAUUAUCCAUUUCAUUGUGCAUGUAUUUUUAUAUACAUGAUUUAGGCACGGUAGCAUAGCUUUGCUAUUCUGUUAUUACAGCUUCCCAUAUCUAUCUAUCUGUUUAUCUUCUUGUGCCCGCUUGGACCUAGUGGGGAGACCGGCGGAGUCGGCGGCCGAACCCACUGGGAACUAUGGAAGAUAAUUCUCACCCCACUCUUUUCAGGUUCGUGCUCGAGUGUUCCCGGCGAGCGCGAGGAUCGUGGUAAGGGCGUAGCGCCCUAGUUGCAUUAGCUAUCCACCCAUUUUGCAUUAGCUCUACCAUGUAUUAUGUUGAGAGUAGUUGUUGUAUAGGGUGAAGUUUGAGAGUGCUUGUACUCAUGUUUUGGAAAAAUGUAAAAGAUGGUAUUAAAUGUAUUAAGUUGAAUGAAUGUAAUAGAUAGAACCUUCUCUCUUUAUCUACUUGUAUGUCUCAUACUUGUAUCUUGCUCUUGUUUUGGUUGGCACUGGUGGUGCUCCUCGUGAUCGUGUAUUCAUGAAUUGAUUCCUGGAUAAUUCUUUUACAUGAUCAGUUGGUUAGCUUUGGGCGGACAGGGGAGGUUCUGUCCGUUCGGCGUCUGUUCGACGCGCCCGGAUCGGGCCAAAUUGGUAGCGGUCUCGGGGCGUGACAGAUAAAGUGGUAUCAGAGCGUAAGAGCAAGUAAAGAGAGAGUCUAGGAUGACCUAGGAGACUCUAGAUUGUUAAACCCUAAGAUUAUAGGGGCGUGAGUGAAUGUGAACCUAUGGCGGUGGCGGAAGUUGAUUGAUUGGUUCGAAGUUGAUAUUAUGUCUCUAGCUGUGAAUAGAGACGGAUCCAAGUGAUACUAGUUUCUUGGCUCGGAGUGGUUGUGUCGGCGGCCGACGACGCGACGCUAAGAGUCGAGAACUAGGACACUUGUGGGCUUCCACCCGAUUUCAUUGUCGAGUCGUUUAAUUUCAUGAGCUAAGAAGUUAUCGGGUAAGAUAACUAACUGAGUUAUUGCUUUUCAGGAGCAAAUGUCCCCAAGACGAUAUGUACGCAGGUCUGCUCCGGUACAGCCUCCUGUGGAGCCCGAGCAGCGAAGAUCGGAGGAAGUGCAGGAGCUGCGGGAGCAGGUCGCUGCGAUGUUGGGCGCGAUGCAGCGCCAAGAGGCUCGGUUAGAGUAGCCCCAGGGAUUCGUGGAGCGGCAAGCAGCGGCGGCGGCCGCGACGGAGACGGAGGGCCGCGCGCCGUUAGCAGCUGAGGUUGAGGGCAUAGCGACGGUUCCGGUGGCGGCAGUUCCCCCGCCAGCAAGUGAACCUCCGACAGCUUCGGGUUCGGUGACACCUGAUACAACGGCCGAGGAAGUGGAGCGGGAGCGUGCGCUGACGGCUCUAAUGAAAUUCCUGAAGUUUAAGCCACCAACCUUUGAAGGGGGAAAGGUGGAGCCGUCGGUGGUGGAGUCUUGGAUUGACUCUAUGGAGACCCUCUUCGAGGACCUAUAUACCUCGGAGAAGGACAAGGUGCACCUCGCCACACACUGUUUGAAAAAGACGGCGAAAGUGUGGUGGAAGCGGUUGAAGCGGGAUCGGCCCUCUGACCUUCCACCAAUGCUCUGGGAGGAGUUUAAGGGGGCAAUGUUUAGAAAUUACUUCCCCGACACCGAGAAGCGAAAGUUGAAGGAGAAGUUUUGCAAAUUGAGAUAGGGGGAUCGCUCAGUAGCAGACUACGAGCAGGAGUUCUCCCAUAUCAUAAACUGUGCCCCAGAUGUGGUUAAAGAUGAUGGGGACAGGGCCAAAUGGUUCUUGCGGGGACUUCGGCCGUGGAUAUAUCGGGCAGUGCAGUUGUUCAAGCUCACGACUUUUGCCAAAGUGUUUGAUAGGGCGCUGUGGGCAGAGCAUGGAGAUGCCCACGUGCGGGAGGAACGCGAGCUGCUGACUGGACCCCAAGACAAGGGGAGGAAGCGAUCGGGCGGCGGUUCGGGGGGACAAUCUAGUUCGAGGAGGCCCCCGAAGUAUCCGCGGUCGUAGUCGUGGGGCCGUGGGCCGCAGCAAUGCAUUAUCUGUGGAGACCGGGGUCAUCGAGCGCCGCAGUGUAGGCAACGUCAAGGUAAAUGCUACGACUGCGGACAGGAAGGGCACAUAAGCCGCAACUGUCCAAUAAGGGCCUCGUCUGCUCCGUCAACCGCGUCGACUCCAGCACCCCCGCCUCAUCAUGUAGGGGCCCCAUAUGUUCCUGUAUCAGCGGGACGCGCACUGAUGCCGCGUCAGCCGGAGGUGACUCGAUCAGCGCCGAGCGGACGGGUAUUCACCGCUCAGGCCCAAGCCGAGGAGUCUGCCCAAGCCGAGGAGCCUGAUGUUGUGGCAGGUAUGGUUCUAAUUAAUGGAGUUCGCUCAAGGGCUAUGUUCGAUACAGGCGCCACGCACUUGUUUAUUAGUAGAGCAUUUGCACGCAUGCAUGCAUACCCAUAGAAGCAAGUGGCAAGUGGCGAGUCGAGGGCCCUGAGUCGUCAUUCAAUACUUAUACGGAGUGCUCGUCGUGCCCAGUACAAGUAGGUGACUGGAUAAUGCCCAUCCGGAUGUUGGAGCUCAAUAAAUUGGAGGCAUAUGACGUCAUUUUGGGCAUGGACUGGCUCUCGAAGUAUUACGCCACGAUCGAUUGUAAGAAUAAAUCGAUCACUUUUCGGGAGCCAGGACAGAAGGAGUUCGUUUAUCGAGCCUAUCGGAGUUCUUGCUUCGUCGCGACGGUAUCGGCGACGAGAGCUAGGAAGUUGGUCACCGGCGGUUGCGUGGCAUUCUUGGCGACCGUCGUGGAAGUGGAUCGAGUGGUGCCGAAUUUAGAAGAGUUAUCGGUGGUGCGGGAAUUCACAGAUGUAUUUCCCACGGAGUUACCGGGGAUGCCGCCGGAUAGGGAGAUCGAGUUCGUUAUAGACUUGGUUCCUGGGACGGCGCCGAUCUCAAAGGCCCCAUACCGCAUGGCGCCGGCAGAGCUAAGGGAACUGAGGGAUCAGUUACAAGAUCUUCUCGACAAGGGGUUUAUCAGGCCGAGCAUAUCGUCGUGGGGAGCCCCGGUGUUGUUCGUGCGCAAGAAGGAUGGGUCGUUCCGACUCUGCGUGGACUACCGAGAGUUGAAUAGGGUCACGAUAAAGAAUAAGUACCCGUUGCCCCGAAUUGACGACUUAUUUGAUCAGUUGCAGGGGUCACGAGUGUACUCGAAAAUAAACCUACAGUCCGGCUGUAAGGGAAGUGAAUUCUCGAAAUCCGAGGAUUAGACUUCAUCUGGAAUCGACCAAUUGUCGAGGGUAUAAGCUUCGAAAAGUUCGAAGAUGAUUUGAAUGCAUAAAGUGCAUUAAGGAAGAGUCCGCGAGAGCAGCAGUGCAAAUCUGCACUGGAGCGGAAUUUGUUCUCGGGGACCGGUCCCUGGUGGGGAGGGACCGGUCCCAUCAGGCUAGGCUGGCGGGGACCCAUGAGGCAACAGGUCUCUGGCAGGUUAGGACCGGUCCCCGAACGUUAACCCAGCGAGACAAGCCGAAAUUUGGCUAAGUCUCGAAAAUCCAUCUCUCGGGAACCGGUCUCUCGGAUAAGGACCGGUCUCCCGGGGACCGGUCUCUCAGGCAGGAACCGGUUCCCCAACGCGAAAUCCCUUCUGCCCGAGAUGGAAGGCUCUCGGGGACCGGUCUCCCCGAGCUGGGACCGGUUCCUCACUGUGAAAAUGCCCAGUGAGAGGCUGCUUAAUAGAUGAAAAGUUGAGGGGCUUAUUUGCGAAUUGGCCUAUAUGAGAGGUGGGGGACCCCUCUCUCUCUCUCUGUUGUCUCAUUUGCCCUCUCUUUCUCUCCCUCUCUCUCUCUAGAAUGAAGGAAAAGAAGAAGAGAAGAAGGAGAAGAAAGGAAAGAAGAGGUAGAGAAAGAAGAAGGAGAAGAGCAAGGAGAAGAAGAAGAUCAUCUUCCUCUCUCUCCCUCAAGCUAGAGCAAGUUUGGAGCCUGGUAAAGAGGUAAGCUCCAAACCCAUCCAUGCUGGAUUUCUUGAAGUUGGGUUUUGUAGCUUAGAAAUGGUUCGAAUGGAACCUAAUGAGGUUAAGGAGAUGGCUCGAGCUCGAAAUGGAAGCUCGCGCCACGGAUUUCCUCACCGUUGCCAAUUUAGGGCACGGAUUUGGGAUUGUUGGAAAGUUAGGGUUUUGAUCUUGUUUAAUAGGUUGUAAACCUAAUUGCUAAGUCUUCGAACGCGUAGGCGAAGACGGUUCAUCGAUCCGACGAGCGAGUGCGGAGAUAUCGCCGAAACUAAUACUGGAGGGUUCGCUUUGCCCCGAGAAGUUGAAGCGAUGCAAAAGGACCGCGACGUCGAGUUUGCUAACUACGCGGCACUACCAAAAGGUAGGGGAGUGCCAUCUCGAAGCAGUCGAGCUGCUUUCUAUGUCUGAGUUAUUAUGUUGAUCAAUUGCAUAUUGAACAUGAGGCAUAUAGGGAACUAAAUUGCUAAUAACUAUAUUUGCAUGCUAGUGUUGAUGUAGCUUAGUUGGUAUAGCACUAACCUAGUAUGCAUGAGUUGAAUAUGAGAUGGUUAACCCUAUAUGUGUUGGAUGUACAUGUAGCUAUGAAAACAUAGUACAGUGUGGACUAGAGUACUGAGAACUUGUCAAAAGAACGAGUGGCAUCUAGUUAACAAUGAACACAAACGAGUGGCAUCUAGUUGAUAUUGAAUAUGAGAACACUAGUGUAGCAAAACACUAUGAGCUUGGGUAUUGAGAUGCUUGAUUCUAUGAUGACACCAACCUUAGUUCGUAGGACCAGUUCGUAAGUUCAGAUUAUACUCACAUAGCCUGUCUGCGCUUGUCGGGGUCGCUCCCCACAGGCUGUGCACUCCGAAGUAUUUGUCACUCGAGGGGCAGUUGCCAUGCGCUGCCUGGAUAGUCAGUGUAUCUGUCCGCAGGCGGUCUCCGGGAAUUGUUCAGCGAGGCUUUUCCCUAUGAGACUCAUAAUGUAAGGUACCGGACUUCUAAAACUAUGAAGUUACGGUGUGCAUUUGGUUGGAAAGCCAUUUGAAUCGUCCCGGUGAAGUUCGAUGAAGUUCGGAAGCAUUCGGGCGUUUCAGUGCGCGUAGGCGCGGAAAUGAGACCCGAAAGGCUAUGUUUGUCACGCCCCGAGACCGCUCCCAAAUUUGGUCCGGUUCGGGCACACCGACAGACCGCCGAACGGACAGAGUUUUCCCUAUACGUCCUAGGCGUCGCAACAAGUACAAUACAAAGGUUCCAACCAGGAACAGUACUCAGCAAACAGAAUUGUAUCAGGAAGGUAUCAAUCAACAUAAACACAUCCUAUGGUAUUACAUCCAUUCAUUUUACAUCACAAUUCCAUUACAUUCAACUUCCAAUACAAUUAAGUUAUUACAACAUUUAUUGAUUACAAUUUGAUACAUUUGCUUGCUUUCAUUUUCUAUACCCCUAAGCUACGUCGACGGGGUACUGCUAGCUCUGGUCUCUGGGGGUAGGGCGCUAUCUAUGGAGCUACGCCCUUGCCUCGCGCCGCCGCGCCGCUCACGUGCGAACCUGUAAAACCCCAAAACAACGUGGGGUGAGAACCAACUCCAUGGUUCCCAGUGGGUACAGCCACCCAAGGGAGGAGCUCGACCAACAGGUCCAAGGGAGGCAAAUACAAGUUAGUCCAAUAAACAGAUAGAUAUGUAUAUCAUAAACAUGCAACUAACUUUACCUUGCUUUGCCUCACAACUGCAAUGAUGUCAUGCUAUAUGCAACAGGAAUAUAUGCAACAACUAGUAGAAUUAUUGAUUCUACAAUCAAUCUUGCUAAUCUUAGCUCGUGCCAUCCAACUCUAAGGCUUCCACUACCUUAGGUUUAUCACAUUUACCACUAGCCCUCAAGGUUCUAUCUACCUUAUUCCAACUAGCCACCCGACUCGGCCUCGAGUCAAUCAAUAGCGGAUAAUCCGCGCUCUGCCCGGCUCGAGGUGAAGGACCCUGUCGCAUGCACCUCAGCCUGCAAGCCAAGAACCACAUCGCCCAACGGUCCGCCCGAAGGUCCAUGCACCGUGGUAAGGGAUCCGCCAGUGGGAGAGGAAACAUAGCCGCGUACACCUAUAGCCGAGAUCCCCGAUAGGGAGAGGAACAUGCCGCGUACACCCUAGCGCUCUUUGUUUUUGCUUAGUCAUAAUCCUCAAAGUUCUUCCGGUGGGAGAGGAACAUCGCCGCAUACACCCGCGGUCCAAGAACUAUUGAGUUCACAAGUACUGGGAUUCCGGAAUCGACUUCACAAGUCAAGGGUCCAUAUCCAACCCUAUACUAUUGACCUAUUUAGGUCCAAUACACUUUCCACCCUAGGUCCAACUGACUCUAGGUCUAAUGCCUCGAUUUCACAACCUAGGUUUACCUUAACUCUAGGUUCAGUUCUCAACCUAUGUUCUUUAACACUAGGUUAGAUGCCACACACCUAGAUCCCGACUCUAGGUUCAUACUCAACCUAUGUUCUUUAACACUAGGUUAGAUGCCACUCGUUAUUUAUCCUAGGUUCAACAACGCUAGGUUCAAUGUCAUCUAGGUUCGACCUAUGUUUAUUAACACUAGGUUAAUGCCACUCGAUCUACUUGAUAUCCUAUUUGUCAUAUCGAGUCCAUAUGCACAUGCAUCUUAUCUAACAUGCUCACAUGAUGUUACAUGCACCUAGCAUACAUUCCAAUGCACACAUACAUUGUCACGCCCCGGGACCGGCGGAGGCCCUCCCGGUAGCGUGCCCAGACCCGCCAUAUGUCUACACAUAUAAGGCGUCUACAAGAAAAGCGGAAGUCUAUUUGGAUGAGAUUGUCGCAUUGCACGGGUACCUACUUCUAUCGUAUCAGAUCUGAUGACCCGUUUUGUAUCCACUUUUGGAGGAGCUGACAGGACGCUCUGGUACCCGUUUUGCGACUUUCGAUCACACACUUUCCACCCCCAGAGUGACGGGCAGUCGGAGCGUACUAUACAGACUCUCGAGGACAUGCUUCGAGCCUGCGUGAUCGACUUCCAGGGAGGAUGUCGCAGCAUCUACCGAUGGCAGAGUUUGCUUAUAACAAACAGUUAUCAAGCAAGCAUUCAAGAUGGCACCGUUCGAGAACUAAUGGACGAAAGUGUAGAUCGCCACUUCAUUGAGUGGAAGUUGGUGAGAAGAUUGGCUUUAGGCCCAGAUGCUCGAGGAAGCAGAGGACGAGGUUCGCAUUGCUCGGGAGCGAUUGCUGACAGCCAAGAGUAGGCAGAGGAGUUAUCUGAAUCGCGUCGACGAAGACUUGGAGUUUUAGAUUGGAAACCAUGUGUCUUGAAAGUCUCGCCGACCAAAGAAUUCGAAGAUUGGAAUCCGGGCAAGUUGAGCCCCCGAUAUAUUGGACCGACGAGUUUUGGAGGCGUGUGGCGCCCGGUAGCGUAUCGACUCCUUUACCGCCAACUAUCGGCGUGUACACAAUGUAUCCAUGUAUCGGUCCUUCGAAGUACAUCCACGAUCCGGCUUCACGUGUUGGAUAUACACCUUGGAGCUGCGGGAUGAUUUGAGCUUUGAAGACAACCUUGAGGAUGUUAGCUCGCGAGGUAAAAGAUUGGCGGAACGAGAAAUUCCUUACGUGGAGGGAGCUUUGGAAGCAAACCAACGGAGCGCCGAGGCCACUUGGGAGCUGGAGAGCGCACUAAGGGAGCGCUAUCUCUAUCUUUUCAGACGGAGGCUUGAGGUACUUGUCAUUUCGAGUGCGCGACGAAACUCCUUUUAGAGGGGUGAAGUAACGCACUGACCUUUGCAAUGCGAGGUUCGAGUGUUUUGAUGUAUUUCGAGCUUUAUCACACUUUGGUGGAGGGUUUGUAGAAUGUUUUCCGACCCAAAAAGUUCGAAAACUGGAAUUCUGCACAAGUCCUGAAGUUUUUUACUCUCGGGGACCGAUCCGCUGGAAGAAGACGCGGUCCCCAGUGAGCAGUGCUGCGGCAGCCCUGAGGCAACCGGUCCCUGGCGGCGAACCGGUCCCCGAGCGCGUCUUCGCAGUGAGAGACCGUCCGCGCAGGAGAGACCGGUUCCUGAACGUUGGUUUUCGGGUUCCGCGCGAGAGACGGUCCCUGCUGGGAGAGACGUCCCUCUGGCGAAAACUGCCCAAGACCGGGCUGAUCCAAUAUUGGAUUUUUGAGGGCCCACAGAUUUUGUUACAAGAGAAGGCUUAUAUGGCCAUUCUCCUUCUCCUCUUCCUCACUUCACCAUUUCUUUUGCUUCUAGAGAGAGAGAGAGUGGGAGAGAAAGAGAGAGAAGAAGAAGAAGAGCUUGUAGAGGAUUGGGAGCUUCAUCUUCACCUUUUCUUCUCCUUUUUGGUGAUUGAGCUUGCCUUUGAGCUUGGUGUGGACCAAAUUUCAACCCUAGGCAUUUUGAGCUUGGAUUAAAAGCUUCAAAGGGUUAGUACCAUGUUUCUUCCUAUAGAUUCUUGUUUUGGUGGUUUUUGGGGAGAUGAAACCCUAGAAAAUGAGAUUUAGGGUUUGAUUUUGGCAUUUUUGAUCUAGGGCUUUGACUAAAAUUGUUGGUUUAGAACCUUCCUAAGGCUUGGAUUGGAAGGGUUCUAGCUCUCUUUUGGAGCUUAGGAAGAUUUCUCCUCUUGAGGUGAAUUUUGGGCCCUUUUUGCUUCUACUUUAAUGUUUGAUCUCUUGGUUAGUCGUAAGCUCUCGUAUCUCUUCGUGAUUAUUUUUAGGGUAUUUGAGACUCGGGGACAACUUUGUUCGGCGAAACGAGCGCCUACGCACGGUUCGGUGGUUUGACCUAAGCCACACAAUGAGAAAUUCUCAUUUGUGCUUAAUUAAGUAUUGUUAAAUGAAAAAGCAUGCAUAUUCUUGUUAUAAUGUAUUUAUUGUGAAUUUAGAAUGUUAAAAGGCCUUAUGUUAUAUAUGAUGAAAUUGGACCUCUAUAUAUGUAGAGAGUAGCUUGUAGGCCUAUAGUUGCUCUACAUUCUAUAUGAACGUGGUUUCAUGCUCCUAUAGUGUAAAUAGAUUGAUUCAUGCAUUUAAACCUAAGUUUAUUUGGACAUGAAAGUUGACAAAAUUGCCAUAUAGAGCUAUCGAACUAGAAUGUAUGGGAAUUGGAGAGCUAUAUCAUCAAGCGGCAUUGAGCUCGGGACAAUGUGUGAACCUAGUGGUUAGAGCUAUUGAGGGAUUGGGUAUAUGUGAACAUUAAUUGACUAAGUGUCAUCAAGGGCCCUAGCGUAAUGAAUGUUGGAACUCUCAUCUUAUGACUUAAGACUAGAUCCUUCAGGAUGCUAGUUAUGAUACCAGUUAAGACAUAGGAUUGGAUAUUUAGACUUGGACUAUGCUGCUUGCCAUUUGUGUCUCAUUCACACAUGCUUGUAAGGGUCGCUCCCUACAAGCCGGCACUCCGGAGUUAGCCUAUGCGACCUAUGUUCGCUCAUGCGGUAUUGAGAAGCCUACGGGGUCUAGUGGACAGACACAUUCCAAGAGUAGGAAUGUCGGGCUACACAGGCACUUAGGCGCACAAGCUGGACUACCUUUGGUAGGUCCUUAAUUGGAAAUGAAAUCGAUACGGUGUUGAGAUGGUUAAUCACUACAGAUAGGUUUAGUAUCGAAUUACAUUUAUAUGCUUUUAGCAUAGUGUUGAGACAUGUUAAUAUCUUGAUAGUCGUCUUUUUGCAUUAAAGCAUGUUUGGAUGCAUGACAGAACUUGCAUACUGUAUUCAUAAAGAUAAUAACAUAUCUAUUUUGAUAUCGUAAUGUACAUCACCAUGACAUCGUUAUACUUGAGUUUAUGUAAGUUAGCAUUUAAUUAUGCCUUUAUAUUGCUAUCAUUAUUGUACUUACCCUUUUCUUUGGGCUAGUGGUGCAUUGGAGCUAGAGGUCAGUAAUUGCCCACGCGGGAACUAUAAAAUUAUAGUCUCACGCGCCUCUUUUUCCGGAUGUUUUUCAGAGCUUCCACUAGGGUGAGCCAGGACGCGCGGAAGGGAGUUGCUUCGAGCUAGCUCCUACGAGGACGACUGCUAGGUGGUCUACCUCCGUUGUACUUUAUUUUGGAGAGGUUGAGAGUUUUACCAGUGUACUAGAGACCAACUUUUUAUAUAGAGGCUGAUACUUGUAUAAUCUUAUGUUUACUUUAUAUGUAUUAGUUAUGUUCUAUUACUAAUUUAGUAUAGAUGUUAGAACUUUACUCGCUCUGAGUAUCAUUAGUUGCCUUUUUAAAUNNNNNNNNNNNNNNNNNNNNNNNNNNNNNNNNNNNNNNNNNNNNNNNNNNNNNNNNNNNNNNNNNNNNNNNNNNNNNNNNNNNNNNNNNNNNNNNNNNNNCAAAUCAAAUUGACAAAAUCAAAAGGGGAUUUCUUCGGAACCCCAAAUCAAAUUGCAAAUCAAAGAUGAGUAUUACACGAAGCUUAACUGCAAAUUAAAUGUUCAUAUGACGAACCAAAUUGCAAUUAAGUUCGAAUUCGAACCCAAAUUGCAAAAUCAAGUUCACUACAAACACAAAUACAAUCCAAACAUUCCCCAAAUAAACCAAACAACAUCACAAUCAACGGCAAAUCCAACCCAAAAUAAUCGCUAACCCACUUCCACCAUAAAACAAAACCAAAAACUCAAUAAACCACAACCAAACCCAAUGAAAUCCAAACCCAUUUUCACACAUAAAACAAAACCCAAGCUAAAUCAAAUCAAACCCAACCUGAACCAGUCCAAAUAAGAACCAAAACGCCGAAACCCUAAAAUCAAACCCUAAACCCAAACCAUCAAAUACACCUAAACCAAAACACCAGAAUAAAACCCAAACUGGACCAAAUAAAUUCCAAACCCCAAGCCAAGUCCACAAUAAACCGAUGAACAAACUUGGACCCAAUAAAUCAAACCAAACCAGUCCACAAUAAAAACAAACCAAACUUGCGACCAAAAGAUCCAAACACCAAACCAAGUCCACACAUAAAUCAGAACCAUAAACUCAAACCCAAAUAAACCCAAACCACAAGUCAACAUACAAAAGCCAAGAUUCAUGGACUCAAGUCCACCCUCUUCAUCACAUGAAGCCAAAACCAAGUUCAAUGGACCAAAUCCCAUGAACCAAAACCAAUACUCAUGGGACCAAAUCCAUGAGACAAAAACAAGUUCAUGAACAAAUACCAUGAACCAUACCAACCUCGAUGGACCAACUCCCAUGAGCCAAAUCAGUUCAAUGGACCAAAUCCCACGAACCAAAACAAACUCAUGGACAUAAUGCCAUGAGCAAAACAAACCUCAUGGAUCAGAUCCCAUGAGCCAAACCAAACUCAUGGACCAAAUCCAUGAGCCAAAACCAAGUUCAUGCGAACCAUAUCAUUGAACCAUAACCAAAACCAUCGAUGAACAAGAUCCAUGAGCCAAAACCAGUAUGUACAAAAUUCAAGAUGAACAAAACAAACCUCAUGGACCAAUUCCCAUGAGCCCAAAAUCAAACCUCAUGGACCAAAUCCCAUGAACAAAAACCAAACUCAUGGACCAAAUUCAUGAGCCAAACCAGUUCAUGGACCAAAUCCCAUGAACCAAGAACCCCAAACCUAUGGACAAAUCAAAUGAGCCGAAACAAUCCUCGAUGGACUAAAUCGCAUGAGCCAAAAACAAACCUCAUGGACAAAUUCCCAUGAACAAAGAACCAAAUUCAUGGGACAAUCCUCAAUGAGCCAAAAACCAAAACCUCAUGGACCAAGAGUCCCAUGAGCCCAAACCAAACCUUAUGACCAAAUUCAUGAACUCAUACACAAAAACCUCAUGGACCAAUCCAUGACCACAAUAACCUCAUGGACCGACGAACCCCACAAACCAUACACCAAACCUCAUGGACCAAAUCCCAUGAACCAUAAAUCCAACCUAAUACCCAUAUCCCAUAAACCAAUACCCAAAUUCCAUGAACCAAUACCCAGAUCUCAUACCCAUAUCUCACGAACCAAUUAAACUCUAAUACAUAGAGUUUAAUAUCGAUUAGGUCUUAACACAUAUACUUAGGGCCUAAUCAAACUCAAAUUCAACUGAAUCCUAAUACGUAUAUUAGGAUUCAAUAAACCUAGAUAUGAUUCAUUCAAUCCCAUCUAUAAAGGUCUCUUAAUCGAAGGUGCCCCAAUCUACAGAGGGUAAUUAACAGUAGAUGCUUGCAUUUAUUGGAAGCCAUGGACCCGCAAUACCUGAUACCCACAUAUACAUAUAAAUACUCAUCUGAAUCAUGAAUACUACCCCACCGCCCCGAAAAAUCCAUCGACCGUGCGAGGUGCGUCAUUCGUGGUGGCAGACACCACCGACCUCGUAUGGUUAUAAAGGUGCUACGGUUUAAUUCUCGUGAUUUUUGGACGCUUAUUUCUUCCGACUGUGCAAAACGAAGCCAAAAUAGGCUUUUUCUUCAAUAUCUUUGCGUGGACUCGUCGGAUUUUCGAACCGAGUCUCCCAACGCGUCGGAAAUACCUUCAAUUAGGUUUUCAUAAGGUCAAUUUACAUUUAAACCCAUUUAUGACAAAAGCCCUAAUUUAGUGCCCUAACAAUGCCCUAUAGUAACAUAUACCAUGUAGAUCUUAGGGCAAGGCAAAAACAAGCUUAAUGUCGUCUAGGAAUCCUUUUAAAACCAUUUCUAGGUCAUUUAAACUAUUCUUAGGGCAUUUAAAACAAACCCUAGAAUUCUACCGUGAGAGCUCAUGGACAAAUAUGGAUUUUCAUGAGUUCCAUGGUCUCUACAAGGUUUCCUCACAUGUAAGAAGAUCAAAUCCAAGUGUUCUAGGGUAUAAAACCAAACCCUAACAUCAAUCUUACAAGAAACCUUACAUUAGCCUAGAAGCUCACCAAGCUACACCUUGUAGGAGAGUGUCACGCCCCGGGACCGGCAGCGGCCCUCCCGGUAGCGUGCUCAGACCCGCCAUAUGUCAACACAUAUAAGGCAUCUACAAUGAAAGCGGAAGUAAAAGUAAGAGAUAGAACAAAUAAGAUAAGUAGCAACUAAUGAUAUCAGAGCGAGUAAAGUUCUAUCAUCUACACACAAGGAAAGAAGUAAGGCUAAACAAUAAAAGAAACCAUAAGUAAUACACUAUCAGUCUCAAAAGUUCAAAAAAUGGUGGUCUCUAGUACACUGGUGAAACCCUCAACCUCUCGCAAAAUAAAAAGAAAAUACGUCGAUAGUAGCUAAAUAGGCUACGCAGCCUCUACUAAUCAAUUGCCUAGCUCGAGAGGAGCUAAUCGUCAUCGCAAACAGCGAACUCUGGCAUCCUCGGUACACAACCUCCGCCUGCCCCAGCUCUCUAAACGUCACCGUUCGAUCCUUGCAAUCGAUAGUGGCGUAGUACCUAGUCAACCAGUCCAUGCCCAACACUACAUCAAACUCUCCGAGUUUAUGCAACGCUAACAAGUCCACGGGCAUAAUCCAAUCUCCAACCCGAACAGGGCAACUGAGGCAAAACUCUCAAAUAUCCAAAGAGUGAUCGGGUACAGUAACUCGUCCCGGAUGCAACAAGGAUACUAGUGGGAUGCCAUGCAACUCGGCAAACAGCCGGUCAAUGAAUGAAUGCGAUGCACCGGUAUCAAACAAAGCUCUAACUCGAAUACCAUAAAGUAAAAUGAUACCUGCGACCACAUUCUCGGCUGCCGCCGCCUCCUCAGUCUGGGCCGCGUACAUGCGCCCGCUCGGGGCCUGUCGUGACCCCUCCGCCUGUCGCAGAACUGGCGGCCGUCCUGCCUGGUGAUGCGCAGAAGAUGUCCCCUGGCUGGGACCUGGCGAUGCUGGUGCAGAUGCCGCAGAUGGCGCUGGCAAUGGACUCCUCGGGCAGUCCGACUGGAAGUGGCCCUCCUGGCCACACAAGAAGCACCUGCCCCGGCUGCGUGAACACUGCCGCGGGUAAUGAGGACCGCCACAGAUCACGCAGCGGGGAGCCUGACGACGAUCGGGUCCUCCUCGCUGAGUAGACUGGCCACGUCCUCGCGACUGGCUCCGGCUCCUGGGAUGCCUCGGCGGCCUCUGUGAGUGCGUCUGACUCGCACCCUCAGCCGCGGGCCUCUUCCCCUUCCCUUUCUCCAAGCUCUCGCGACGCUCCUGCAGAUCCGCCGCUCCCGCCUCCACGAUCAAAGCUCGAUCCACAACCUCCCGGUAGGUCUGGAGGUUGGAAGACUGCACCAACCGGAAGAUAGAAGGCCGCAAACAGCGCUCAAAGAUGCGGGCCUUGUCCUCGUCGUCCCUCACAACAAAUGGUAUACAGUGUAGUAUCCGGGAGAACUCCCUCUAGUACUCAGCCACUGACCGCUCGUCCUGGCGCAAGCUGCGCAAAUCCUGCUCCAUCUUCCUCUUGACGCUGGUAGGAAAGUGGUGCGCCAGUAGAAGCUCCUUGAAUCGUGUCCAAGUAAUCGCCGCCAAGUCGGUGUUGGGGUUGUCCUGGAUAUCCAACCACCAACGAUAGGCCUCGCCGUCCAGAAAGUGAGUGGCGAGCCAAACUCUGUCCCUCUCCUCGACGAAGGUAUCUCGAAACAACUUCUCCAUAUGCAUCAACCACUUCUCAACAAUCCAGUGGUCGACGUUCUCGCCAUCAAACGUCCUCGGGCUGCACCUCCUGAACUCGCUGAGGCGCUCCAUAAGCCGAUCCCGCUCAGCUCCCUUGGCCAUCACGGGGAAUGCGGCCACCGUCGUCGGUCUCUGAACUGGUAAUGCAGCAACCACCUCCUCCCGAGGUGCGGUCGCCGGUGCCGCACGUGAAGAGCUGGGCGCGGGGGACUGCGCCCUCGGCGCGACGUCCACUACGGGUGCUGGCAGUGUGGGAACCUGGGUCUCCCUCGAAGCUGCCGCCUGCUGAAGUAGGAGGUCCUCGAGAUGCUUCAUCCGCGCCUCCUGCCGCUGAGCCACCUCGGCCUGUCGCUGCGCCGCUGUCGUCUGCUGCGCCAACAGAUCAGUGAGAACCGCAAGCUGGGCCCUCAAGUCACAGACCUCGCUAGAUCCGGAAGUAGCGGAGGUCUCGACCUUCUCGGGGUGUGCCGCAUCAUCCUCCCCAGCAGACUGGGAGCGUGUAAUCGGCAUCGACACUACAGAACAUAAAAGCGCAAGUUAGUAACCCACGCUAUUGCAACCCCGCUCAAAUAAAUAAAAUCCAAAUCAUGCGAAAGUAGGGAAGUGUCCUUCACUACUAACUCCCGAUGUUACGUUGUCGGCCGCCAACGUAACCCUCCGCGAAGUUAGAAGGCAUACACUCCGGUCAAACUCUAACUGUUUAGAGUUAUCAUCAAACCCAAUCAAAAUACUUUUGCUCACAAAUCAAUAGACCUCGUCUCUCACGAGCCUAAUUCCUAUAGUCCAACCGGUAUAAGGUUUGCUAGGUCCUCUAAGACUCAACCCUAGGUUCUGAUACCAAAUUAAUCUGUCACGCCUCGGGACCGGCAGCUGCCCUCCUAGUAGCGUGCCCAGACCCGCCAUAUGUCAACACAUAUAAGGCGUCUACAAUGAAAGCGGAAGUAAAAGUAAGAGAUAGAACAAAUAGGAUAAGUAGCAACUAAUGAUAUCAGAGCGAGUAAAGUUCUAUCAUCUACACCCAAGGAAAGAAGUAAGGCUAAACAAUAAAAGAAACCAUAAGUAAUAAACUAUCAGUCUCAAAAGUACAAAAAUGGUGGUCUCUAGUACACUGGUGAAACCCUCAACCUCUCGCAAAAUAAAAAGAAAAUACGUCGAGAGGUAGACCACCUAAGCUCGUCUCUCUCUGAAGGGCUAACUCAAAGCGACGCCCUUCCCACGGUCCCUAGCCUCUCCCGGCGUGGAAGGCUCUGUAAGAAAACAUAAAACAGAGGGCGUGAGAACUAUAAUUUAUAGUUCCCAGUGGGCAAUUACUGACCUCAGCUCAAUGCACCACUAGGCCCCAAAGAAAAGGGUAAGUACUAUAAGCAAUAAUGAAAAUAAUAAUAAAAGAAACGGUUUGCAUUUAAGAAAGCAAAGUAAAAUGCUAAACUACUAUGUUGCACAUAAGCAAGAUGUCAAAUGGUUGUACAUCUACUAUAGUCAAAUGAGGUAUGUCCAAGCAUGAAUACUAUAUCCCAACAUAGCGAACAAGUAGGUAACAUGAUCUACUAUGAUAAUGUACGAAGGAUAUGCUCUAUCAUGGCAAUGAGUAUACUAUGAUGCAAUAAAUAGGACUAUCAAGUAUACUACCCGUCUCAACACUAUGAUAUAAGUACGUCAUAGUAAUCCAACUACUAAUCCUAUCUAGUAGUGAUUAUUCAUUCUCAACCCUGUGUCGAUUUCCAUUUCCAAUUUGAGGACUUACCAAAGGUAGUCCAGCUUGUGCCGCCUAAGUGCCUGUGGUAGCCCAACAUCCCUACUCUUGGAAUGUGUCUGUCCCACUCGACCCCGUAGGCUUCUCAAUACCGCACGAGCGAACAUAAGUCGCAUAGGCUAACUCCGGAGUGCCGGCUUGUAGGGAGCGACCCUCACAAGCAUGUGCGAAUGAGCACAAAUGGCAAGCAAGCAAAGUCCAAGUCUCAAGUACCCAAUCCUCAUGUCUCUAACAUGGUAUAGUUACUAGCAUCCCGAAGAUCUAGUUUAAGUCACAACAUGAAGUUUCAAUACUACUAGUCUUGUGCCCUUUUAUGACACAUAGACAUUUUAAUGCACAAGUAUAUCCAACUCUCUCAAUGGCACUAUCCACUAGGUUCACACAUGACCCGAGCUCGAUGCCCCUUCAUGACAUUAGCCCAAUUAUUCACAGAUAGCACAAGUCCCCGAGCCUCUUUAUGGCCUACUAAGAACCCUCAAGUUCAAUAUGGGAAUAACUUUAAAUGCAUGCAAAAGAUGCUCAUUUUCACAACGGGAUUUAUGAUUCCAAGUCUCAACGGGAUGCCAAACAUAUGCGAGUACCACAUGUUAGUUCUCUACUACAUGGAGGUCCAAACUUUCAUUACACAUAACAUAGACAUAUUAAGCAUCCUAAAAUUCACAAUAAAUAUAUCUAACAUGAUUAUGCAUGCUUUUCCAAUUAACGAUGCUUAUUUCAUCACAAAUGAGAAUUUCUCAUUAUAUGGCUAGGUCAAACCCACCGAACCGUCGCGUAGGGCCUCGUUUCACCGAACGAAAUUGUCCACGAGUCUCAAAAUACCCUAAAAGUAUUCAGCGAAGAGAUACAAGGGCAUUACGACCAACCAUUAGGUCAAACAUCAACAAACAAGGCAAAAGGGCUAAAACUCACCUCAAGAGAGGAAAUCUCUUCCAAAGCUCAAAAAGAGAGCUAGAACCCUUCCAAUCCAAGCCCAAGGAAGGUUCUAAACCAACUAAUUUAGCCCCAAAAGCCCUAGAUCAAAAAGCCCCAAAAAUCAACCAUAAUACCCACUCUAGGGUUCCAAAUGGUAAAACCUACCAAAUCAAGGAUCAAAGGGUAGAAUCCAAGUACUAACCUCCCAAGAUGCCUCCAAGCAAGCUCCAAAUCUUCUAGGGUUGAAGAUUGGUCCUCCACCAAGUUCUACAAGCAAGCUCUAAGCCUUGCAAGGGUGGAAAGGAGAGAAAGGGGUUGAGCUCCAAGCUCCCUCAAGCAAGCUCCUCUUCUUCUUCUCCUCCUUCUUCUCCUCCUUCUCUCUAUAGAAGGUGUAGGAAGGGGGUGAGAAUGAGAAAAUGGGAGAGGGAAGAGGAGGAAAUGGCUAAUAAGCCCAUCUAGUGUAACAAAAUCCGGAGAGGCCCCUCAAAAAUUUAAAUUUACAUCAGCCCGAACUGGGCAGUUUUCGCCCAGAGGGACCGGUCUCUCCCCAGCAGGGGCCGGUCUCUCUCUGCGAACCCGAAAAACCAUCGUUCGGGAACCGGUCUCUCCCUGCGCGGGACCGGUCUCUCACUGCGAAGGCGCGCUCGGGGACCGGUCUCGCCUGCCAGGGACCGGUUGCCUCAAGGCUGCCGCAACACUGCUCACUGGGGGACCGGUCUCUCCUUUCAGGGACCGGUCACCGAGAGUAAAAACUCUCAGGCCUUGUCCAAAAUUCCAGUUUUCGAACUUUUUAGGUCGGAAAACAUUCUACAACCCUCCACCAAGUGUGGAAAAGCUCGAAAUACAUCCAAGCACUCGAACCUCGCAAUUUGCAGAGGUCUAGUGUAUUACAGAGAGCCCUAGACCCUUCAAUGCUCCAAAUCCACCUUCAAAUUCUCUCCUUCCACGUGAGGAAGAGCUCCUAGAGAGAGAGAGAGGGAGAAAAAUAGGUUGAGAAGGUGUUCUCACUGCUAUGAAUGAGAGAGGAGUUGGGGCAUAUUUAUAAGCUGCUACAAUUGCAACCAAGCUCUCCAUUUCUUUUUAUUUGCAGCAGACUCAACCUGCUGUUCGCAGCACUGAGAACCAGUACGCGGGUGGGUGUCACCGGUUAAGACCCUAUUCAACAGCCCAACCCAAGAACUACUGUUCUCGAAUUGCUGCGGGGUACCGGUACGCCAUGGUGCUUCACCGGUUAAGCAGCUUGACAAAGGCCAAACCCGAGAGCUGCUGUUCUCCGGUUGCUGCAGAGUACCGGUACUGCCCUGGUACUUUACUGGUUAAGCAAUGCCUAGACUGCAGUUUUGGCGCGCCGAGUAAUGCUAAAACCCUUCUAACGCAUUCAGAACUCAACUCUAACCCUUCCAACAUUGUUGGAAUGCCAAAUGGACUUUGUCCAACUAUUCCUCUCACACACUUUGGUCAAUUUGACUAAAGUUCGAUAUAUUCUACCGAAGUUUCGGUAUAUUACAUUCUGCACCCCUUAAAAUUAGUUUCGUCCGCGAAACUAACACAUACCUUAGCUCGUCGACUCAAAUAGGUGAGGAUACAUCUUUCGCAUUGUCUCCUCAAGCUCCCAAGUGGCUUCACGCACUGCAUGAUUGCUCCACUGGACUUUAACGUAGGGGAUUGUGCGACUCCACAACUUCCUUUCUUCUUGAUCGAGAAUACACAUCGGAUAUUCCUCAUAGGUCAUAUCCUCGCGCAACUCCACCGGUUCAUACUCUAGCACAUGAGUCGAAUUGCGGAUAUACUUGCGGAGAUUUGACACAUGAAACACAUUGUGAACUCCUGCAAACCUCAGUGGUAAUGCAAGCUUGUACGCCACCGCACCGACCCACUCCAAUAUUUCGAACGGUCCAACAUACCGAGGACUUAAGCAUUCCACGGACUCCAAACCGCUUUACUCCUCCGGCUUGCGCCGUGCCCAAUGGCCCCGUGGUAGUCAACAUUCCCAUCCUAGGAACGAGCCUCCCCCACGGCAUCCCAUUUCGGUGCCCAAUCCCGCACGGGCGAGCUUAUAUCGCGAUGGCUAUCUCCGGAGUGUCGGCUUACGGGGAGCGACCCUCACAAGCAUGUGCGAAUGAGCACAAUGGCAAGCAAGCGUAAUCAUCCGUCUCAAGACCAAGUCAUCAUGUCUCAAACAUGGUAUAUAGGCUAAUAUCCCAAUGGCCUUACACUAUGUCAUUAAAUACAAGUUUACUCAUUUGCUAAGUUGAAUGCCACUUCAUAACAUUUAAAGUCCACUAUGUCAAGCAUAAGUUCUAUGUCCAAGAGCAUGAUAUUCUUGCCAUUUUCACUAACUGAAAAAUGAUUCCAAACCAUAUAAAAGAAUGCUAUACACUUGCAUGCAUACUAUAUGCAAAUCUCUCUACUACAUAGAUCAAAGAAAAUAUACAUGAACUUCUAUUUUUAGAACAAAGAAAAUAACAUAGGGGGGAUUUCACCUAUUUCGGUGAGGUCAAACCCACCAAGAGCUCCUUGGAAUCCUUCGUUAGCGCAAAAGAAGGUGUCCAGCCUCCUAGCUCCCUAAAGAAAAUUCUACAAGGGUUAGACGCAACGAACGAAUACCCCAAAGAUCAAACAUUAACCAACCCAAGAAAAUGGUAAAACUCACAUUGUAUGUUGAAAACCUCUCUCAAUCUCCAAAUGAGAGUUAGAACCCUUCUAAUCCAACCAAAAUGAAGGUUCUACACCUAUCAAAUAAGCCCUAAAAGCCACAAAUCAAAAAUCCCCAAUUAAAACCCUAGAUUCUCAUUUCUAGAUUUUCAUCUCGAAAACUCUACCAAAACAAGAUCUAAAGAGUAGAUCUAAGAUACUAACCUCUCAAUAAGCUCCAAUCCAAGCUUGGAAUGAGCUAUGGUUGAAGAUUGAUCCUCUAGAAAGCUCCUCUCCUCAAUCCAAAGCUUCUCCAAUAGUGGAAAUCCAACAUGAAGCAAAGAGGAGGAAAAAAAAAGAGAUCAAACCAAGCAAAAAUCAAGAAAAAUGGGAGAAAAACCAAGGGCGAGGAGUUCUACUUGGUUCUCAGCCAUCCAAGGGGCUGUGAGGGGUUAAAUAGAGAUGUAACAAUCUCAAAAAAACCUUCCAAUAACGUGCAGUCAGCACUGCACUGCGUACCGGUACGCGGGGAAGAGUACCGGUACCACGCAGCAGCUUGCGCAAACCCGAGCCUGGGGUUGGCGAGAAAAUGCAUUGGGUACUAGUACCCGCCCGAUGCAGCACCGGUACCAGAUCCAGUUCCGGUACCAGGUCAAUGCAGUACCGGUACUCAGCCUAGCAGAGGCAAACUCGAGAGCAGCCCAAUAUCCUGCACUUUAGAGGUUUGGGACUAAGUUUUAAACCUUGCUCCUCGGGAUGCGAGCCAUAGGUCGGAACACAGUCUACGACCUUCCAGAAUAUCUGGAAAAACUCAAAACGCAGAUCAAACACUUGAACCUUAUAAUUUGCUAAAGUUCAAUGUGUUACAGCUUCUACCGCACUUGGUUCAAUGUACAUGUCGACAACUCGGGGAAAUCUACUAUCCCUAUGUUCAUCAUGUCAUAAGUGUUUCUACUACACUAAAUUCACAUGCCACUCGUCUAGGUCAUCAUAUAAUUUUAGAUGCCACUCGUUAUGUCAUUACCUAUACAUCAAGUUCAUCACUUGUUUUCGGCACUAUAGGAUUCAAUGUCAAUCCAAUCCUUACACAUCCACUAUAUUAUGUGUUCAACUCAAAAUGCAAUAUCAACUAUGGAAGCAUAUAAGGAAUGGAAAUGUAACUAUUAACAUCCUACAAUGCAUAAACAACAUGAAAGAUGCAUGGUCAACGAUGUAACAUCGACAUAGAAUGAAGCUCGAUUGCUUUGGAUAGCACCCCCCACCUCUAAAUAAUGCCGAGGUGCGAGAAUACGAAGCUCGAAAUUUUUAGACGUUGUUUCGGCCGUAUCCGGCGGAAACGAAGCAAAAACGGUCAUUUUCUUCAAUACCGUGCCACAUGCCCGUAGGAACUCCCGUUUGAGUUGCCCACAACGUCGAUUUUACCUUCAAUUAGGUUUACAAAAGGUAAAUUUAACCAUAAACCUCAUAUCUAUGAAAACCCCAAUUUCAACACUAGGGUUCCCCUAGCAUGAACAACAUGGGUUUUGCAUGAGAUUCCAAGGUCUCUCUUAGGUUUUCUUUCAUGUAAGAAGAUCAAAACCAAGUGUUCUAGGGUAUAAAUCCAAACCCAAACCAAGAUCUUACAAGAAACCUCACCUUAGCCUAUGAACACCACAAGCUCCACCUUGUAGGAGGGCUCUUCACCUUCAAAAGUCUUAAAUCUCCUUCAAAUCCUCCUUCAAUCUCCUCCAAUCCACCUUGGGAGAGAGUUCCUAGAGAGAGAGAGAGAAAUGAGAGAGGAGGAGUGUUCCCAGCUUAUGAACAAGAGAGGGGGAGAUGGGGUCCUCUUAUAUGUUCACACAAUUGCAAAUAAGCCCUCCAUUUUAUUUUAUUUGCAGCAGAUCAACCCUACUGUUCGUGGCGCUAGGUACUGGUACGCGGGCUCGCUUCACCGGUACACCGCUCAGCAGAAGCCAAAAAUUUUGUAUUGAACACGGUGAAUGGUUCACCGUGUUCAACUUAAACACCUGGGCCCGCCCUGCCCACGUGGCGCUGACGUGGCGCUGGCGUGGCAGGGGUAGGGCCAUUUUUGCAAAUAAUUUUUGGACGGGGCUAUUUUUACAAAUAAAAUUUGUCAGGGGGCUAUUUGCAAAAAAAGCCCUAUAUGUAUGUAUGUAUAUGUAUGUAUAUAUGUAUGUAUGUAUAUGUAUGUAUAUAUGUAUGUAUGUAUAUGUAUGUAUAUGUAGACCUGGCAAUCUCGACCCAAACCCGCGGAUACCCGCGGGUUACCCACAAAAUUGCGGGUAUGGGUACCAACUUUUCCUACCCAAAAAAUUAUGGGUAAAAUAGGUGGGUACCCAUUAAGUUGUGGGCAUUCUGGGUAACCCGCGGGUACCUACGGGUACCCGCAUGUAUAUUUUUAAUUAAAAAAAAUAUAUUUUUUGUUUACCCAUCCUAAAAACCCUAAACCUAAUUUCCUUUCGUUUAUCUUUUUUUCGUUGUUGCCACCUCUCAUACUGUGUCGCCUUUGCAACUGCACUCCUCUACUAUUCUCUGGUGGCCCGACCUAUAUCGAACCACCAAGUGCUUAUUUACGAUCUUCGCCUGCACCUUCACCGGCUUUUUUGUGUUUAUCUGAAAAAUGUAUGAUUUUUUCGGCUUUUUCUUCCUUCUUGCUAAUUGUUGGUAAAUAACAUUGCAGUAGAUAAUAUAGCAUUCCGAAUACAUAGAAUAAGUUUAUGUUAUAUUACUUUCUUGUUGAAGAUAAAACUUGCUAGUGAUUUGAUUUCUAAUUUUAAUGCAUCGUCCUUCUCCAACUUUACAUCUGCUUAUUUUCAAUACAAAUGUUUAGGCAAGGGCCCUUUAAUUUUUCUUGUAGCUUUUAUCAAAUAUGAAAUAAAAAAUUAGCUAGCUUCAUAUUGCUCAUUACAUUAUUUGGUUGAAAGUUAAUAUGCUGAAAUUUGGAAAAUUUUCAAAAAUAGUGGAGUAACUUUUUUUUUCCCAUUAUGUAGUAUGGAUUCAGAACAUGUGCAGAUAGUGGACGAAAAUAAUAAUUGUGAGACACAACAGCCUGAUAUUAUUCAAACUACUGUUAAACAAGAAAGGGUUAGUGAUAGUGAUUCUGCAAGAAAGAAACCUCGCAAAUAUUCAGAUGUGUGGAACAGUUUUGACACAUAUGUUGAUGAUGAUGGGAAUAAUAGGGCAAGGUGUAUAUUGUGCAAGGCCUCUUAUGCGAUAGGUACUAAUACUCAUGGGACAACAAAUUUAAAACGCCAUAUCCAAAGUUGUCCAAAGAAAAUUAACCAAGAUGUAAACCAACUACAUUUUGGUUACGAGGCAAAGUUACGUGGAAAAAAAUUUAACCAAGAAACUUAUCGUGAGAAGAUGGCGAUUGCAAUUAUGAAACACAAUUAUGCUUUCUCAUUUGCUGAGCAUGAAGGAAUUAGGGAUGUGCAUUUUUACUUGAAUGAGGACGUCAAACCCUAUACUAGAAACACAGCAAAGACCGAUUGCCUGAAAAUACAUAAAAGGGAGAAAGAAAAUAUUAAGCAUAUUCUAGGGAAGGUUUCUAGUAGAAUAUGUCUUACUUCUGAUUUGUGGUCAUCUUGCACAAGUGAAGGGUAUAUUUGCCUAACAGCACACUUUAUAUAUGAAAAUUGGAUAUUGCAUAGUAAAAUUUUGAAUUUUUGUCAUCUUCCUCCUCCACACCCGGGUACUGUCCUAUCUGAAAAAGCUUUUGAGUUCUUAAAAGAUUAGGGAAUUGAGAAAAAAUAUUUUCUCUAACAUUAAAUAACGCUAGCAAUUGUGGCAAGAUGGAGGGGAUCGUGAAGAGUCAGCUCUGUAUGCAAAAUGCAUUAUUAUGUAAUGGAAAAUAUUUUCAUGUGCGUUGUUCUGCUCAUAUCUUAAACUUGAUUGUUCAAGAGGGUUUAAAAGUUUCUAGUAUGGCACUACAUAAGAUUCGAGAAAGUAUUAAGUACCUUAAGAGCAGUGAGGCAAGAUUGAUUAAAUUUGCAGAACUUGCAAAGCAAACAGAUGUUACUACUUCAAUGCAUUUGCGCAUGGAUAUAUGCACUAGGUGGAACUCCACAUAUUUGAUGUUAGAGAAUGCUCUAACAUUUCGACGUGUUUUUAUGCAUUAUUCUUUGUUUGAUUCACAUUAUAAAUAUUGUCCUUCAAAUGAUGAGUGGGAUAGGGCGGAAAGGAUAUGUGAUUUUUUGGAACCAUUUUAUGAGAUUACUACUCUUUUAUCUGGUUCUGAAUAUCCAACUGCAAAUUUGUACUUUCCAAGCGUGUGGAAAAUUCAAAAGCGCCUUCUUGAAGAAGCCGAGAGUGAAGAUGAAAUUAUAAGUGACAUGGCAAAACAAAUGAAAUCCAAGUUUGAGAAAUAUUGGGAUAAUUAUAAUGUGAUAUUGGCUAUUGCAAUUAUUCUUGAUCCUCGUUAUAAGCUGCCCUUUGUGGAUUAUUGCUUCAAAAAGGUUUAUCCAACUAGAUACCUAGAAGAUGCACAAGGCAGAAAGAUACUCACAAGCCAAGAAAGUGUAACAAUUGUUCGGCAAGAAUUGUAUUUACUUUUUGAAAAAUAUGUUGAAAAGUUUUCUGUGCAAGCCCAAGAAAAAUCUUCAUCAACUACUAAUUGUUCUACUGGUGCUAAAAGAAAGAAAAAUGACAUUUGUGUAAGUUAUUCUUUAGCUUUUUCUUUAUAGUUGCAGUUAUUCAAAUACUUAACUUUUUUGUAUAUUUAUUAAUUUUUUUUGUAUAUUUAUUGUCUUUAAUUUUUAAAUGUUUCAAUGGUUUAGGACUUUGAUGGCUUUGAUAGUGAAUUUGGCGUCACUAGCAAAUCUGAAUUAGAUCGA
rnacentral:lncRNA from 1 species